UAUCAAACCCCUUUCAUUUUGCAGUUUUCAUUCGCGUUUGGAUCUCAGGAUUUUAGCGGGGAUUUUUGCUUGUUUGUUUUGUAGAUCAGGGAUGAAAAAAUUAAAGUUCUUACCCCAAGGGAAGCUGGGUAUGCAGUACAGCUUUCAAACAAGCCUCUUAUUGAUGUUCGCCCCUCAAAUGAACAUAGCAAGGUUUCUCUUAUGAUGCAGCUCUUGCUUUUGUUUACCUUAGCCAAUACAUUGCACAUAUGAUUUAGUUAUAUACCUCUAGAAGGAGGGAAUAAAGAAAGAAAUUUGAUAUUCUAAACAUGUUAUUGUUGUAGUCAGACAUUUAUGAAGCUUAUUAUCACGAGUAAUUGAUCUUGAUAGCCGUUGAAAGUAUCAGAUUGGCAUUUCUUUAUACAUCUAAUUGAAUUCUAUUCAGCUUUCAUAAUUUUAGCUCUUAAUGCAAAUAAGUAAUUCGAUUCUUCUUUUGGUUUCGUUUUUCACUUAGCAAACAAUCCACACAUUAUUGUUGUGGUCUUUGAUUGUUCUUUUUGCAUGUUUUGAAGGCAUGGGUGAGAGGUUCGACCUGGAUUCCAAUAUUUGAUGUCGAUAAUGGUUUAGAUGUUGGAACCAUUCCUAGAAAAAUCACAAAUUUUGCUAUGGGUAUUAAAAGAUCUAUGCUGACUCUUUGAAUACAAUUUUACAAUCACCCGCUAAAUUUCAUUGAAAUUUUAUUAAAUUUAACUUGAUUUUGUGAACAGGAGGUUGGUGGAGUGGCAUGCCUACCCUGUCUUUUGACAAGUAUCAUAAACAAUCCUUGUUUGUUCUUAUGACUCUUUCUCUGUGCAAAUAAAAUUUAUUAAUUUAUUUCCUCUCUUUAACAGCUCGUUCUUACCCAAAGUUGAGGAGAAGUUCCCCAAAGAUACAGAAUUAAUUGUUGCAUGCCAGAAGGGACUGAGGUGAGCUUUAUAGAUUCAAUUGAUUGCAUACUGAAUUAAGUUUCUUUUAAUUUUAAUUUUCCAUUUUCUUAAAAUGCAUUUGAUAAUUGGUACAGCCCCUUGUGUUUCGAAUCACAUUUUUGUAUUUAAAUAAUUAAAUCUUUGGUUCAGUCAAAUUCUGGCGGGUGAUCCAUCUAAUCAUUUCACAAUUGUCUGUCGAACAAACAAUGUAAGUCUUGUGGUGUUCUUAACCUGACUUUUGGCCAGAUCACUAGCUGCUUGUGAACUACUCUAUAAUGCUGGCUACAGAAACCUGUUCUGGGUUCAAGGAGGCUUCGAGGCUGCUGAAGAAGAGGCAUGUUUUCCCAUUUCAAUUUUCUGAAAUUUCUUUUGUGCUUUACUCUAAUUAAAUUUUGGAAAAUAAAAACAACUUUUCUGGUGAUCUUAAUCCUUUUGGCCCUUUGUUGAGCAGGAUCUUGUAGUUGAGGGUCAAGUGCCUCUUAAGUUUGCUGGAAUUGGUGGUGUUUCAGAAUUCCUUGGGUAACUAUCUAAUCUCACCCUUUCCCUUACUUCUAAUGCAUGCAAUAUAAUAUCAUUGAUGAAGUCUAACAAUUAGGCCUCGUAAAUUGAAGUUCUCUCUAAUGGAUAACACAUUACACAUAUAAAUUACUUUGUAAUUUAUAUCGUUUGCAAUGUUUUUAUCAUGAAUUCAUGCCACAUUAGAACAUUAUACUUCUUACAAGUUAUGAUUGGUUUGUAACACUGAUAUAAAAUCUAUGUUCAAAAUCACUCUAUAUUGUUUGGUGUAUUACAUAGGCAUAAUUUUAAUUUGAUGCAUGCUAAAGACCCAUGGUGAUUUUUUAUAAAAGAAACUCAAUGACAUGAUAAAUUGUAUGUUUUUUGGAUGUGGUCUCUGUUGAUUUUUUUAAAAAAAUUUAAAUUACUAAAGAGAAGUUUGAUGUUAAUAACUAUCAAUUUCAGAAUUGAUUUACUUUUGUUCUAGAUUGAUUGACAGUGUAUUGAUUUAUAUGGUGUACUGCCAAAAGGUGAAAUUGCAUGCCAAUUUACAAAUCAAUUUUGAGAUUGGUUAUCAACUUGUGAUUAUAUGCAUACAAAUAACUUAACUACAAUUUUUGUUGUGAAGACAGUGUUCUGGAAGAUUUCAUUGAAAAAUGACAUAAGAAUCUUAUGUUAUUUAUUUUCAGAUUGCCAUGAAUUAAUUAAAACGUGCCUAUAAAUUCUUGCUGGCAACAAUAGCACGAAAAUUGUAGAAACCAGCUUUCUGGUUGCAAGAUAAUAAUAAAUUUAAUUAAGAGAAUAUUAUACAGAUUUGAGUUGUUAUUCAUCAUCUAUUUGAUUACAACUCUCCCGUCUGUAGCAGAAUGUUCAUAACUUGUUCAGCUUAAUAAUUGCACAGACGUAAUUACAUGAUACAUAUAUAUCUUUUUGCUUAUGAUAUGCAGGCUUCAAAGAAGAUUUUACACAAUUUAAAAAAUUAGAACAAUUUUUAAAUAUGGAUACAAAUUUCUGACUGCAAGAUUAUUUCCAGUUGGACUGAUCAACAACGAGCUGCUGCAGCCAAGGAAGGUUGGGGAUACAGAUUAGUGUUUUCUGCACGCCUGGUAAUUUAUCUAUUCUAUACUUUCAGCUGUGAAUUUCAUUUCUCAAUCUUGACAUCUCAAAUUUGAAUGGUUCUUGCAUAGAUUGGACUAUUUCUUGUUACCGAUGCAUUAUUUAUUGGCGCUCAGCAACUUGGGCACUAUCUUCAGGAGAUCAGGACCCAUUGAGAUACUAUGGCUACAUUUGAGUUAUUGAUUAACCCUGGUGUAGACAAUGUUCCUUUGUUUUGGAUGAGAAAAUAGAGACAACAGGCUGAGGAACUCAAUUUUGAAUGCAGACCUUGAUGGAGGCUUAUAUUCCAUCCUUUAGUUAGAUUUACCAGCAGGUGCUUUCUGGAAUUUAUGUCAUAAUAGGCUUAUCUUAUUCUUAGGAUUAUAAAUCCAAGUUUAGCUGGGUAGUGAUUUUAGCUUAGGUUUCUCCCGUGUGGCUGGCUACGAUCUAAGAAGUAUUUUUUGGCCAAACCAAAUUCUUGUAUUUUCUUAGAAAUUUCCAGAACCCAAAAAAUGUCAUCAUACUGCUUCAUUAAUGUUAAUAUUUUGUUGUGUGUAUGUAUUAUAGUCGUUGAUAUAGUAGAUAUAUUUCGAACUGUGAUUAUAUUAUUGCAGAAACCCUUGAUGUGUGUGAUUGUAUCCAUUUAGAAUUUCCUCUUUCCUUAUAAAAUUAGGCUGUAUUAGGUUGGUGAUCAUUUCUAAAAAGGAGAAAACAUUUUGUAACAAAUGUUAACAUUAAGUUGUAAAGCAGCAAGAAUCUCUACCUUAAGUUUUAAAUUAAUAUGUAUUUUGUCAUUUCAGUAUAGUGAUUUCCAUUGCCUUCCCAAAAUUCUAAAAUCAAGUUGAAGAACACAAAAUUAUUGAACCAAAUGAUGAUUGACGAGUUGCAGAAUCUCACUGCCUUGUUCUUGAGUCCCCUCUUUUUUAUGAAGCCCUCGAGUUUAUGGAUGUGACAUUGUGAACAUUUUUUCCAUUUUCCCCCUAGCACUAGAAAUAGUUGAGUUAUAAAGGAAAGUAGAAAACUCCAAACAAACCAAGUUCAUCCAAAUUAUAAAAUAGUAUAAUGUUUUAAUCUUUGAUGAGAAAAUUAAAAGUUAUACAUGGGAUUAAGUCUAGCGGAAAGGACUAGACUAUCACAACAUGGUAAACCCGAAUUUGAAUCUCCGUUGAGAGAGGUAUUCACAUUUAAUGCUCCAUAUCCCUCAAAUAGAAUUAUCUCAAUGGAGGGACUUAUGGAAAACCAAAAAAAGAAAAAAAUAUAUGUAUGUGCAUCAAUAAAAAGUAAAUUCAGCAUUCACAUGCUCUUUCUGCUCUAUCACGAGUCUUCAUAGAAAGUAUGGUCUAGCAACAACAAGAAGAUUUUCUCUCCUAUGCAUUGAGAUGCCAAAAACUUCAGUGAGAUCCAAGUCUUUGGGUGUAACACAAGGAGGAAGCUCCCAAUCAAAGCUAUAGAGAAGUUGAGCUAAAGCAAGCUCAACAACUGCAAUGGCAAAAGUAAUAGCAGGACAACCUCUUCUGCCUGCCCCAAAUGGUAUCAACUCAAAAUCCUGCCCCCUAUAAUCAAUAUUACUAUCUAAAAAUCUCUCUGGUUUAAAUGCAUUGGGAUCUUCCCAACUUUCUGCAUUCCUCCCAAUGGCCCAAGCAUUGACAAAAAAUCUUGUUUUAGCUGGAACUAUGUAUCCAUCUAAGGUAAUAUCUUCCAUUGAUUCUCUUGGGACUAAUACUGGUACUGCAGGGUGCAAUCGAAAUAUCUCUUUUAUUACAGCCCUCAUGUACUGCAGUUGAUGCAGAUCACUCUCUGCAACCACUCGUCUUUCUCCUAGGACGCUACGCACUUCCUUUUGUGCUUUUUCCAUAACAUGUGGAUUCAUUAGCAGCUCUGUCAUUGCCCAAUCAAGGGUAAUGAAUGUUGUAUCAGUUCCAGCAGCAAACAUAUCCUACAAAAAAGAAAUAGAAACAAGGUAUUGUCAAUAUGUCAUUUGUCAAUUACGCAAAGUGAAUCGAGUAAAUAAUCAUUUUAGCCCAUAAAUAUGUGAGUUGGUGUCAUUAUAGUCUUUAGAUAUAUCGAAACUUCAAAAACAUUUUGAGUGUGACAAAUAAAAGAUACGUUGACCAAAUUGACUACCAAAAAACCCAUUCAGUGAUUUUUUAUAAUUUGAUAUUUUAGAGGACUAUAGUGACACCGACUGACAUAUUCAGAGACCCAAUUGGCAAAUAGAUUAAUACUUUGCCAUUUUCAACAUAUUGAGAGAUAAACCAAAAACAUCACAUGGUUAUUGAGGCUUCACUUACCAAGAUUAUUGCCUUGAUAUUAUCAAUGGUGAGAGGCAUCUCACCUGAGCCAUCCUUCUGCACCUCAAGUAAGAUAUCUACAAGGUCCUUAUGUUCCUUUAUUUUAUUGCAAGCUCUGUGUUCAUUCACUAUCUGAUCAAUGAGUUGAUCAAAUUUUCUUGAAGUUUCUAGGAGUCUUGCUUUCAUACCUGUCAAGCUGUGUAUAAACUCCAAUGAAGGAAAGAAGUCACCAACACUGAAUCCUCCAAGUAGCUCCUGAUACUCAUCAAGCAUCUUCUGGAAUCCAUGUUUUUUAUGAUCUCCUGCUUCUGAAAAGUCCCUUCCAAAUGCUACACGACAAACAACAUUAUUUGCAUACAAUCCCAACAUCUUAGACAAAUUGGUAGUUCCUGGAUAAGACCCUGCAACUCUAUGAACUAGAGAAGCAACUUCUUCUUCUCUAACAGAACUAUAUGAGUGUACCCUUUUGGCACUUAGAAGCUCAAGUAUGCAAAUUUUUCUUACAUGCCUCCAAUAAGCACUGUAAGGUGCAAAAGCAAUGUCUGUGCAGUUAUAAAAGAGGUACUUAGCUGAAAACAGUUGUGGACGGCUUGCAAGUGCAAGAUCAUGAGUUUUCAACACUUCUUUUGCUAAUCUAGCUGAUGAAACCACAACUGUUGGAAUUUCUCCAAGUUGUAGGAAAGUUAUGGGUCCAUAUUUAUCAGCAAGGCUUUGUAAAGAUUUUGGAGGCAUGGUUCCAAUUCCAAGUUGGUGGAGAUUGCCAAUGAAGGGUAUGGUAGGUGGACCUGGAGGUAGAUUGGAUCUUCUUAUCUUUCUUGACUUGUUUAUAAAGAGAAGUUUCAUCAAUAGAGCUAUGAAAAUGAAUACAAAGAGAAAGAAUGGUGUAUAGAUUUCAUUGAGCCAUUGGAGCAGAGCCAUUUGAUAGAGUGAUGGGAGUGUAGUUUGCAAAGUUCAACAACAUGUGAUGCCACUGUGUUAAGAGUUAACCUUAUCUCAUUGCAUGUUUCUGUGCUAAUAUGCGACUGCCACAGACACCGAUAGCCGUAGAAUGUGUCAAUUGCUUCUUAAUAUAAUAGACCUAAUGCAUUAAAAAAAAGUAAACUCUAAAGCAAGACUUUUGGCCUUUUACUAUCCAAUAAUAAAUCAUAGUUGAUCAAGACUCCGAACGCUUGUAGAAACCUUCUCGACAAGGUUAACACCAGUAUAAAAAUAUCUCGGAGCCUUAAUGUACUUCCUUGCAUUUCAUCAACUAAGGAGCUGACGUAUAGCCCAAACAAAUUAACAACAAGAGUCAUCAAUUCGAAAAUAAUAUAUACAAGUACAAGACAAUUAACAUAUAUAUUGUAAAUAAAUUGUACAUGUAUCAAGUAAACGAAUAUAUACACACACAUAUAUUUUUUAGCGGUAAGACUUCAACGUAAAUGCAAUGUCUAUAUGUCAAUGCAAAUGAUUUCGAAAUAUCACCUCACACAAGAGCAUUGUGGAUCCUUCUAAACAACACUACUUUUUCCCAUAGGAAAUGUAAAGUCCACCGACUAUCACAGACUCAAAAUCCCCGCAAGAAUAUGUAGGCUCCAACCAAUUAUAGACAUACCACUUAAUUAUGAAGAGUUUUCUACCUGACACUCUCAAUUGCACCUGCCACCCCCAAUACACAUGAAAAGACAAUUUAUCUUUUUAAUCAUUUAAAAUAAGUUUCAGAAGUUUAAACGUUUUGAAAUAAACAAGUUUUCAAAAUUAAAAAAAAUUGAAUUUUCGAAAUAAAGAUACAUUUCGAAAAUUUGGAAAGUUUUCAAAUUUAGAAAUUUUCGAAAAGGGCAAAAUUAUAUUUUUAUAUGGGUUGGUAUGACAAGUAUAAGUGGGGGUGCGUCGUAGAAAACUCAAUUAUAAAUGCAUGAAUGUGGAUGGACACCUUGUUCAUUAAUCAUCAAUACUGCAAGAUUAAAUUACUAACAACUGCAUAUUUGCAUUUUCAGAAAUCAUCACAACAUGUCAUAUGCAACGAUUCUAACAAGGAGUACAUUACAUCAUUCAAAAUAACAUGUUAAUAUAACACUUAUUUUGACAAAAAUAAACGAACACUUCAACAUGGUAUACACAUAAUAGCAAACAUACGAGAAUCCAACACAUAGCUAAUGCAAGAAAAUAAAUGGAGAGAUGUCCUUACCUUUAAGCAUUAUUCUCAAAACUCUUAAGUAACGUAUUUUCUCCAACAAAAUUAUACACCUUCACAAAAUAAAUUAUCACUUAUUUAGUGUCAAAACUCACCUAUUCCUAACUCUUAUUCAAAGUUGUGGAGUUGACUAAAGAUUCACCUUACUCAAGAAUGUUCUUUAAUUAAAUAAUCACAACUUUAUGAUAUCAUAGCUUAAGAAACACCAUUUAAAUAUAUUUUUAAAAGAUAUCAAUUUUCUCAAAUCAACAAACACAAAAACAAGUAACAAUAAAAAGAUAUUUCGAGUUCAUAUUUCGCACAAGUGCCUCAAGACAAAUCCAAUAAAAAAAGGGUGAAAAAUUCAUUUUACAAAUCUUACCUUUGGAUCAAAAUUCUAAUAUAAUAAGUAUCAAUGAUCCAUGAGAUAACGUUAGUUCACUUCCAAAGAUUCAACAUAGUUGAAUUUAACACUUUAACACAAAACCCUUUUUUUAUUUAUAAUUAUUACAAGACAAAUCAACAACUCUAUUGUAAAAUUAUUUUAUUUUAUAAAUUAACAUAAUUCUAACAUAAUAUGUUUCGUAAAAAUCAUACCCUUUAAUCUCUAACAACUUUGAAUAUUCAAUAAUUCCUCUUUCUAAAAAUAAGAAUUUUAUAUUAUUUCAAAAUUACAACAAAGAUUUUAAAUUGAUUUUGAUAUAAAUACCAAAACUUUAAUCAUUAUUAAGUGGUUUAAAAUAAUGAUUCACGCUUCAAAUUGAUUUUCAUCAAUGUUAACACCUAUAAUUUGUUUUAUCAUCAAAAUAAUAUUUUUAUCUGUUGAACAUUAAGAUCAAUAUUUUUCUUUAAUUAAUAUUAAAAUUAAGUUUUAAACAAUAACAUCAACAACAAUUUUAUCGUAAAAAUCAAUAUAUUUCAUUUUAAAAGUUUUGACUCUUUUAUUCAAAAAUCAACUUAACACAAAGUCCUAGACUUUAAACUUUCAAUUGAAACAUUUAAAAGAAAUGGCGAUAGCAACAACUAUCAAGUAUUUUUAUUCUCAAACUAAAAAUAUUAAACAAGACUCAAUUUUAUGCAUCAAAAUUAUGUCAUGACUCAAGAAAUAUCAAUCUUACACCUUCUCCAUAAUUUUAGAUAAAACACAAUUUGUAUAAAUUAAAUUGAGUUUUCAACAAAGAACAAACUUUCUUCCAAAAAAUUAAAUAUGUAUAUAUAACAUAUUAACUUAUACUAAAAUUAUAUUUCUACCAUUAAAUAUUAUAUUGUGUAUAACUCUUUGCAUCAAUCCGAUCACAAAACUAACACCUUUAGCAAACCAAUUAAUCAUUAAAAAUAGAAGCUUUAACCAAUUAAAAUUAUGUAUCAAACUUUUGAAAUAAUAUGCUUACAAAAAGUUGUUUUAUAAUCAUAACACCCCUUCAAUCAUAAAAAAAAAAAAUAGAAGUCAAAGUUUUUAAAAUAUCACCAAUAUCACAAAAACAUAGUUAACAACCUUAAUAACAACAAUAGACAACUUAAUUUGUAUCUUUUUCUAUCAAAAAAUAUAUUUUAAAUCAAGUCUAUUUCAAACUGACUCAAAAAGUAAAUAAAACUAUUGAAUAAGUAUAUUAAUAAAUCAAGUUUAGUGAUAAAAACAAUAUACUAAAAUUUAAACAAAUUAAGAGUAAUUUUUCUGCACAAGUACAACACAACCAUCCACCACCAAAACUAUACGGGCGAAACCAUUACUGAUUACUAUCUUUUCUUUUAACAACUGCCUUAUAUUUCUAACAAAUAUUAUAAUAUUAAUAUUCCACACUAAAUAUUUGUUACACAAAACAAAACAGUAACAACUGCAUGUUAAAUUGUUGUAGGAGUAAAUAUAACUUAACACUCAAAAGUAUUGUUUUGAUACUAUUAAUGAUCUUUGGUUAACUAAAAUAAAUCAUAUAUAUAUAUAUAUAUAUAUAUAUAUAUAUAUAUAUAUAUAUAUAUAUAUAUAUAUAUAUAUAUAUAUAUAUAUAUAUAUAUAUAUAAAUUUAAAAAUAUUAACAUAAAGUAGUGGCAAUUAUUAUAUAAUAAAAUUAAAUGAAAGAAAAAUGCAUUUCACAAACUACUAAUGAUAAAUUAAAAAAUGUGGGUAUUACAUUAUUUUUUUAUUUUACUUUUUCAAAUAAAAUUUUUGAAAUUUUUUUUAUAAAGAGUUUUUUAUUUUUUUUCGAGAAAUAAACUUUUCGAUAAAAAAAGUUCUUUUUUUUUUUUUAUAAAAGAUGAUUUAAAUUUCUUUUAGAUUUUCUAAAAAAUAAUUUCAGAAAAAAAAGUUUCAAUUUAUUUCGAGAAAAAAAAUGGUUUAAUUUUAUUUUUAUUUUUGAAAAAAAAAAUCAAUCUUUUUUCUAGAAGAAUUUUGUUUGACCUUUUUGAAUUUUUUUUAAUAUUUUUUUGAAAAAAAUAAAUUUUAAAUAUUUUUUAUGAAAAAUAUUUUAAUUGACAAAUCAUUGGACCCAUGAGCCUCUCAAUUCAGGAUUCAGACAAUAAAAUAUUAUCUCUAAAGGAGGCCUAAUAAAAAGGGGUGUAGUAGUGGUUUUUUUUGACAGAUUCUUUGAAUUUUGAAACUUAAUUGACAAUUAUAUAUACUCAUAGUACUCCUUGAGCGAUAGAAAUAGAAGAAAUAAUGUGAUAGGUGUAAAUUAAUCAAUUUUACAAAUUCAUUAAUUAUUAAUAUCAAUCCACAUGUUGGAGUGACAAAAAGAUUUCAUCGUUAAAAAGAUACAAAAAAAAAAAACUCUCAAAGCUAAAGUGCCCCAAAAAUUGUGGACUAAGUGGGGUCUAUGGACCCACUUUUUCAAAAUUAUCUUUUGAUUUUUUAAACUGUUUUUCAAAUUUUUUAUGAAAAAAAAAGGUUUUGAUUUAUUUGAGUCAAAUAAAUUUCAAGAAAAAAAUAUCAAUAGAGAAACAUUGCCCUCAUGAGUUCUCUCAAUUAUAACUACAAAAAAUAAUGAGUCGGAUCUUAAAAUUUUAUCUCAAUAGAAUGUCUAAUAUUAAGAAGUUUACUAAAAGGUUUUUUAAGUUAGACUUUGGUUAUGAGGUUUAAUUGACAAUUUUAGAUAAAUGUAUGUUAGUUGUGAUGUAAUAGAAAGAGAUAGAUAUAUAAAAAGAUAAAGUAUUAAAUACGUAUAUAAAAAUUGAAUGUGUUUAAAUAUAAGAGUUAAAUAUAAUAUUAAUAUGUAACAAUUAAUAUAUUAAUAUUUGUCAAUAAAAAAAAGUCAUUUAUUUCUCAAAUUUCAAUAGAGAUAAAUAUUCACUCAAUAGAUUAUCCCUAUAUAUUUCUUUUUAUAAAGAUAAUUUUAUACCAAUUAAAAUUUCUGAUACAUGGACGACCUACUAUUAAGUUCAUUUUAACAAAAAAUUAAAUAAAAUGAAAAUGGAUUGUCUCAUAUUAAAAAAAAAAAAAAAAUUAAAACAAUGGGGGAGUAGUGUGUUGUUCUCAAUCAUUCAAUUUUUUAAUUUUAUUUUUACAUCAUUUUUUUUCUUAUUUAAAACAUUAAUUGAAUGAUGAAUACAAUAUUCUUCGUAUUUUUUUUCUUAACAUAGAAGAAUCCAUUAUGGAAAAUAGAGAUAGUUUUAUAUCAAUUCAAAUUGCUAAUAUUUUUCUAGGGGACUUGAAUUAACUAUGUUAGCUGCACAAAAAUUGAUUAUACAUAAUGUUAAAGGAAUAAGUAGUUAAAUGCAAACAAAGUAACGCCUGCCUCUUCCAUAAUAUAAAGGGUAGCAAAUUAGCAAUGCAGCCUUGCCUUUCAUCUAAAUUUACGUACAAGAUAUGUCCUCUUGUUAUUACUCUCUCUUCAUUCAAUGAUACUUAUUAUUUUUUCAACCACAAUUACUAUUUUUAGUAUUUUAUUGAAAGAAUGAAGAUUAAACUUGUAAUCUUUUUAUCAUUCUCUCUAUAAUUUUUUCUUUAAUACUUAUUAUUAUUAUUAUUAUUAUUAUUAUUAUUAUUAUUAUUAUUAUUAUUAUUAUUAUUAUUAUUAUUAUAUAUUGGGGGAUUCUAUAGCCUCAGUUCCUAUGGUUGUGGUUUCUAAUUUAAGUAAAAUUAUUAUUUUUAAUAAAAUUACAUAUUUGUUUAAUUAGAAUUUUAGAUGUUAAAUACUAAUUUAUUAUCUAUUUAUUUUAAUACUUAUAAUCAAAUAAUUUCUCUCUUUUUAAUAUUUUUUAAACAAUAAUUUCAAGAACCACAAAAAGGUAGUUAGUGUUAUUUUACACAUUAUUUGAUUAAGGUUGAAAGUAAAAGAAAAGAAACUAAUGGAAAGUAAAACUCUAAUUUCAAAUCAAUUUUCCAUCGUUUGGUUGUAGCAUAAAACUGAAAGGAAAAGAAUAAAUCUAUGGGGUCCACAAAAAUAUUUCCUCCCGAAAAUGGGAAGAAAGUCUGGGAACGAUAAAUUUGUGUAGUUGUUCUAAAUCUACCCUAUAUUGCUUACAUAUAUGUAUUGAUGUGUUUUUAUAUUUUUGUGUAAAUAUGUUACUACUAAGUGAAGUAUUAUUCUUUUUGUAUUGGAUAAAAGUAAAAGUAAAUUAUUUCUUAGCAUGUGCUUCUUUUUUUUUCUUCACAAUUUAUUAUAUACAUUUUUCAUUUUUCUUAUGCAUUUCACUAAGUGAACAAUUGAUACGAUCUUAGUUUUAUUUCUCUCAUUUUUCGCGUGUCAGUUUUGCAUAUUUGGUCAAAUUCGGUCAAGUUUUUUGCUCCACUAGAUUGCAUAAUUCUUUAGCUUAGUUUGCAAUCUGCACCAAAAGCCCAAAUUUUACCUAAUUUUCUCUUUUCUCACCUUUCACCUUCACCUCAUAUUUUUGUGUCACUUUACCAAAAUAAAAUGUCAUUUCAUAUUUUUAAAUAGUUAUAGUAUAAUAUUUUUGAGUAGCCUUAACCACUAUAUUUUGAUGGUGUAAUUCUAGAACAACCUUAACCAUUAUAUUUUGAGGGUGUAAUUCUAGAACGAUUUUCUAUAAUGCAAUAGUAAAUCCGAUACAGUUUAUCUGAACUAUUUUAUCCUAAGGACGUCGUGACUGAUCGUUUGUCUUGUACAAUUUUGAGCAGUGCGACGUUUCAAAACAAUUUUUUAAAACUCAAAAACAACAAUUUUAAAACAUUUCUUUAUGUCAUGUCUAGCAAUAAAUUACUAGAUACGGUUUCUCUGCUUCUAAUUUCAAUAAACCGUUUUGGUUUGAGGGAUGUCACUUCAAUCAAUGAUAACCAAAUUUGUUAUUUUUCUUAACUAUGAAAAAUGAUGCCGGCAUUAUGAAAGAUGACAUUCACUAGUUCCAAAAAUAGCUAAACUAACAUAAAAAGGAUAAGAAAACUCGAGAAUUAACUCUAUGGGAGAAUAAUGAUUACAUAUGUAGAGAUUAUAUUCUUAAUGGACUUGCUGACGAUUUAUAUGAUUACUACUGUUCUAGUAAUAUUGCUAGAGAUGUUUGAGAUACUCUAAAUAACAAAUAUGAUAUUGAGAAAUAUGUUUGUAUGAUUUUAAUAUUUGACAUGUUAGACUAUGUCAUGUGAAUCAAACGUGUAAUUUCAAACUUAAGUUUAAUUUCAAUGUUAUGUUUAAAUGAUUUUAAAAAAUGUGAUUUUUGUAGUCAAGUUAAAAUAAUAAAGAGUUCACAUAAAUCAAUAGUUAGAGAAUCUGAGCCUUUAGAUUUAAUAUAUAUAUAUAUAUAUAUAUAUGAACUUGAUAAGACUUUAACUAGAAAUGGAAAACGUAUUUAUUAAUUUUAUUGACAAUUGUUAUGACUACACCUUUGUAUAUCUAAUACAAAAUAAUGUGAAGCGCUUGACAUGUUUAAGAUCGUUGUAACUGUAAUUGAAUAUCAAUUUAGUAGAAAAAUUAAUAGGUUUUGUAUUGAUUGAGGAAUCGAGUAUGAUUCUAGUUUGUUUAAUAAUUUUUAUAAAUUGCAUGAAAUUAUACAUGAAAGAACUACAUCAUAUUCUCCUUAAAUGAAUGGUGAAGGUGAAGCAAAUAAUAAAACUCUUACUGAACUAGUUGUUGCUAUUAUGCUUAACUCUGGUGGUACAUCUCAUUGGUGGGAGAAUUUUUUUAUUAAUUAUUUUCUAUGUUUUGAACAGAGUUAUUAAAUUUAAAAGCAAAAUAUCUCCUUAUGAGAUUUUUAAUAAAAUACAAUCUAAUUUGUCUUAUUUUUUUAACUUGGGGUUGUUUGGCUUAUAUCAGAAUCUUCAAUCUCAAGCGAGUUAAACUCGUCAGUGGAGCAUAUGAAUGUGUAUUCAUUGGGUAUGUAGUAAACAUCAAAGCUAUAAGUUUUAUGACUUAAACGCUGAAGUGAUCAUGAAGUCAAAUGAUGUCGACUUUUAUGAAAAUAUAUUCCCUUUCAAAUUGAAAAAUAGUGGAGGCUUUAGAACAAAUCACAUUACUAUGAUCAAGAGCACUUAAAGCAAUGAACAAGGCGAAACAUAAAAUCAAAUAAGUAAAAGAGCAAAAGUUGCUAAAGAUUAUGAAUCCGAUUAUACGAUAUAUACUACAUAAGAGGAUCCAACAACCCUUCAAGAAGAUUGAUCGUUAUUGGAUGCAUAUUUGUGGCAAAAAACUAUAAACGGAGAAAUGAAUUCUCAAGAGUCUAACAAGAUCUAACAUUUAGCAGACUUGCCUCCUGAUUGCAAAUCGAUAGGUUGUAGAUAGAUUUUGAAAAAGAAACUAAAAUUCAAUAGAAUUGUUGAUAAAUACAUGAUUUGCCUAGUAGCAAUUAGGGGUACUAAUUUCACUUGUUGGUAUUCAUAACUUGGUGGUACACCAAAUGUAUGUCAGAACUACUUUUUUAAGUGGUAAUUUGGAAGAAGAAAUAUACAUGGAGCAACCUGAAGGUUUUGUGAUUAAUGGACAAGAAAACAAAGUGUAAGUUAAAUAAAGAUAACUCUUUGUAUGGUCUUAAGCAAGCUCCCAAACAAAGUGUGUAACUUUAUUAUAUUAAAUGAGUUUAAAGUGAAUGAAAGUGACAAAUGUAUUUAUUACCAAUUUGAAAAAUAGAAUUUGCACUAUCAUAUGUCUCUAUGUAGACGACUUACUCAUAUUUAAUUCAAACAUUCAUGCUAUAAAUACUAGGAAAUCAUUAUUGUGUAACAAAUUUGAUAUAAAAGACCUCAUAGAAGUUAAUGUAAUCUUUGAAAUCAAAAUUAAUAGGUCAGAAAAAAGACUUUCUUUGGGAUCAAUCUCACUAUGUUGACAACAUCUUAAAGAAAUACAAUGGGUAGUGGAAAUGAGAUGAGGUUGUACUUAUCCCUCAGGUACCGGGUUCGACUCUCACAGGAGGCAAAAACUUGUUAUUUCCAACGAGGGAAAANNNNNNNNNNNNNNNNNNNNNNNNNNNNNNNNNNNNNNNNNNNNNNNNNNNNNNNNNNNNNNNNNNNNNNNNNNNNNNNNNNNNNNNNNNNNNNNNNNNNNNNNNNNNNNNNNNNNNNNNNNNNNNNNNNNNNNNNNNNNNNNNNNNNNNNNNNNNNNNNNNNNNNNNNNNNNNNNNNNNNNNNNNNNUAACAGUGCCGAUAACGGUAAGGGAUAUGCUAACAUCAUUGGUAGCCUGAAGUAUGUCACUGACUAAACCUGACAUUGCUUAUAUCAUGAGACUAUUAUGCAGAUUUAUCAGUAGACCUAAUCUCAAAUUACAUUACCAACGACACCUUAAAAGGAGCAUUGGCGCACUGUCGUCCUUCCGAUUGCCUGAGCCUGGACUUAAGCUAAGUGGUGUAUUAUUUUUAUUAGUACUUAGAAGAAAAAAAAAAUUAGCAUGUGUUUUCUUUUUCUCCACGUUUUAUUAUACACAUUUUUCUUAUGCCCUUCCCCAAGUUAACAAUUGAUAAUAUGUGUUCCAUUCCUCUUAGUUUUUGCACGAUAGUUCCGCAUAUCCAGUGAAAUUGGCGCACGAUAGUUUCUUAGAUCUUGUCAAAUUGGGUCAUGUUUUAUACUCCAUUCGGUUGCAUAGUUCCUUUAUAAAUAGAAAAUUCUACCCAAAUUUGCAAUAUGCUCCAAAACCUCAAAAUUUAUCGAGUUUUAUCUUUUCUCACCUUCACCUCAUUUUUUUGGUCACUUUAUCGAAAUUAAUGUUAUCAUUUAGAUUUUUGAACGAUCAUAAUAUCAUAUUUUUUAGUGACAUUAACCGCCAUAUUUCGAGAAUGUAAUUAUAUAACAACUUUAUAUGGUGCAAUAGUAAAGCUGAGCCGAUACAUUGUAUCUGAGUUGUUUUAUCAUGAAGACAUUAUGAUUGAUCAUUUACCUUGUACAAUUUUAGAUUUUCAAAACAGUUUUCUAGUUGUUUAUCCAAUCCUUUAUCUCACUUGUUUGUCGAGUCACGCAACUAGUUUUUGCAUCAACACAUGAUACAAUAAAAAUUAUUGUGCCUUAUUAUUUAUUAUUUGAGCAAAUAAAACACACACCAAAUGUAGGCUUAAUUGCUGUUUUAAUUUCUCUAUUUUUACUGAUUCACGAAAUUGGUUUUCCUAUUUUAAAAGUCAAUAAUUUUGGUAUAUCCGUAUAAUUUUUUAACUAAAAAAUAAUGAUAUGUGAUUUUUUAAAUAAUGUAACAUAUGUUACGGAGAUGUAAAAUGAUUAACGUUCAUGAAAUAUAAAUAAAACACUUUUGAAAACUUAUAUUUCAACUUCAAAAUUUUUUUCUUCAUAUUUUUAAUUUAAUUAAUAAUAUAUAAAUAUAGAUAGUUGUAUAUCAUAGAAUUGUAUGUAACGUCAAUUAAAAUAAAUUAAAUCAUUAUUUUUUAAUUUAAAAAUAAAUAAAAAACCAAUCUAUUAUUAUUAAAAUAGAAAUAUCAAUUUCGUAUAUUAAAUAAUAAUAGAAGAACUACAAAUGUAAUUAAGUCUAUUUUCUUUGCUUUAACUACUUUAUUUACUUUAAGUAUCCAAACAAAGCAUUAAUCUAUCCUUAUUUAUUAUGAUCACGAUGAUUGAAGCACACGUAAACCAUGGUUAAAGAAUGGACCAUCCUUAACCGCACACUGAAGUUAAGAAAAUAUCCAAAUCAAGCGACCGACCAGAACACGUGUACGGUAAGAUUUCGUUACAACCGCCUCAAGGAUUGUUAGAAAAUUAGGGUUCGUUUGUGAGAUAGGAAUCCUUAUCGUUACUUUUCACCUGAAACUCGCCGCUUUUUCUAUCGAAAUCCCUUUGAUUUUUGGUGUGCAAUCAUGGAAAUGGAACGCAUCGUCGAAUUCUCUCGCACUUACAUGGAUCGCCCCCCAAGGAAGAGGGCGCGGUUGGGCUGGGACAUCGUUGAGGUCCCAAAGGUAACCUUUUUUUUAUCCUAAAAUCUCAGAUCUCGUUUUUUCUUGAGGUUUUUUAUGUCUCUUUUUGUAGAUCUGGUGGAUUUUUUUGUAUAUUCGGUAUGUUUGGUUCAGGAAUCGUUGUUCCUUUUGUCUGUUAUAAAGCUUUCAGGUUUUAUCUAACAAUUCCCUAUUUUGUUUGAUUGAAUUUUUAGGUUUUGAUUCUUUUUUAGUUUACCGUCAACCCUAAAAAAAUAGUUUAUUUGGCUUUUUAGCAACUUUUAAACAUGGUGCUGAAAGUGUGCGUGUGUGUGACUAUAUAUUGUACUACAUAUGAUGUCAUUUUGAACAAGGCUUUUAAUAAUUUCUGUCUGUUCUGAUGAAAUUGUUUGUUUUUUAUUUGAAAAUUAAAUUAUAUGUUUGUAUGUGUAUUUUUGCGUUACUUUUUUAUGGUUAAAAAAGUGAUGAUAAUGACGGGGACAAGUUAUUAGGUUUUGAAAUCAUGAUUGUGGGAUGUGAUAUUGUUUCUUUUAUCUCUUUUUAAGUGGUACAUGUAUGGAUGGCUGUGUGUAGGCUCAGGUAGGAUUAUUUUGUGCACAAGAGGUUGAGAAUAUUUCAAGCUAUGCUCCUUCAGAACAUAUCUCUAGUUCUCUAUUUAAGGGAGUUGCUCGAAAUGGUUCUCCCCCAUGGCGAGAUGACGACAAAGAUGGCCAUUACAUGUUUGAGCUUGGAGAUAAUUUAACUUCUCGCUGUAAUUACACUUUACCAUCAUUAAGAAGUUUACAUUCAUAUGUGUCAUGGCUGACUAAAUGAUAUAUGUUUAAAAUUAUGUCUGCUAUUUAACUGAAAGAUUACGCUCAUAGACUUAAUUUUAAGUACUUGUACACAAUCCUAAGCAAUCCUGUUUCAGGUAUAGGAAGCAUUUAUUUAAUAACAAUAAUAAUAUUGUACGCAUUUCAAGAUUUAGAACCAUUUUGAGCUUUGGAUGUUCAUAAAUGGAUCUUGGAGUUUUUGUUUGCUACUCCUGGAUUGCUUAAACCCCAAUUACAUGAUUGCAGAUAAGAUCCACGGCAAAAUGGGCGAAGGAACUUUUGGACAGGUAUUGGAGUGUUGGGACAGAGAAAGGAAGGAAAUGGUUGCCAUAAAAGUUGUUCGUGCUAUAAAGAAGUAUCGAGAGGCAGCCAUGAUUGAAAUUGAGAUGCUGCAGCAACUUGGGAAACAUGAUAAAGGGGGCAAUCGGUUAGUACUUUGAGCUUUAAUUGAUAUAUCUAUAUAUAUAUUCUACCACAAUGUAACACCUUUGAUUCUGUUGCAUCGGUUAAAUGGGUUUAUUCCUUGCAGUUGUGUGCAAAUACGGAACUGGUUUGACUAUCGUAAUCAUAUAUGUAUUGUAAGUAUUUGAUUGAUUUGUGUGGAUUGAUUUCCCCAAUAUACCUAAUUUGGGGGUUAAGAUGUGGGUGAAUUCAAAUGGUUGCAACAGGUGUUUGAGAAACUUGGACCAAGCUUAUACGAUUUUCUUCGGAAAAACAAUUAUCGUUCAUUUCCCAUUGAUCUUGUUCGCGAGAUUGGAAGACAACUAUUGGAAUGUAUAGCAUGUGUGUAGUUUAUUCCUGAACAAGUUUCCUGAACUAUUUUAGCACUUUAUCAUAUUUGGACGUGCCUGUGUUUCUUUCCCUCAAUGAAGGUUGGUUUUCUAAUGGUGUUUUACCUUUCAAAUAAUUGCAGUCAUGCAUGACUUACACAUGAUCCACACUGAUCUGAAACCGGAAAACAUACUUCUGGUUUCAUCCGAGUAUCUUAAAAUCCCUGACUACAAGGUACUUAUUUUUUUGUCUCUGAACCUGUUUAUUUUCUCUUGGAUUUAUCUAUUUUAGACAUUGCUGAUUUGAAAUUGUUUAUUUUGAUUUGAUGCAUAAGAUUUAUCUUUUAAAUAUAUAUUAGUUAUAGCCUCUUUGACUCUCUUUUUUAGAUUUAUCUAAAAAACUAAAUGAUGGGAUAUUAGCUUAAAUAACCAAGUUACCAAUUGAAUUGUUGGAUAUGAUAUCUGACAUCCAUUAUUGGAUAUUCAACAGAGCUCAUCCAGAUUACCAUGCUCCUUUUUCAAGAGAGUGCCUAAGUCAAGUGCCAUAAAGGUUAUCGAUUUUGGCAGCACUACUUAUGAACGGGAAAACCAGAACUACAUUGUAUCAACACGUCAUUACCGGGCACCUGAAGUUAUCCUUGGUAUGUAUCCACGUUAUAUAAUUAUAUAUUAGCUGUGGUUCAAGAAUGCUGGUUCAUGCAGUUAAUUUUGUUCAUAUGCUUAAUGCGUCUUAUUUUUGGGGAUCUUUGCUUAAUGUUCUAUACCUGAGUCAUGGUGCUGAUGAUUUCAGCUGAGUAGUUGAUUUGGUAAUGGUUUUGUAGGACUUGGGUGGAGCUAUCCAUGUGAUAUAUGGAGUGUGGGAUGUAUAUUAGUCGAGUUGUGCACUGUAAGUUUGUCUCUGAAUACUUGUGAAAACAUUAGUUGGUAUUCGAGUUGCAUUUUACUUUUAGUAUUUUUUUAAAUCAGCUUAUAUGCUUCUACUGCAGGGGGAAGCUUUGUUUCAGACUCACGAAAAUUUAGAGCAUCUUGCCAUGAUGGAGAGGGUUCUUGGUCCAUUACCGCAGCAGAUGUUGAAGAAAGUUGAGUAAGUAAUUUACCAUGGGAGCUUUCUAUGAUUCUCAUUUUAUUGAUCUUGAAAUAACCAGUGUUCCCUUUUCUUGUUUUGAUUAGCCGACAUGCUGAGAAGUAUGUCCGAAGGGGGAGAUUGGACUGGCCAGAAGGUGCAACUUCAAGGGAGAGUAUUAAAGCUGUAAUGAAGCUUCCUCGACUGCAGGUUUGUUUUCAAAUCUGGUCAUGGAAAAGUUCUAUUCAGUUAUUGAAAAGGCGAUGUUGAAUAGAUCAUGUUGUGCUUAACUUACUCAAUUUUUCUACUUGCAGAACCUUAUAAUGCAGCAUGUCGAUCAUUCAGCUGGAGAUCUUAUACAUCUUUUGCAGGGUCUACUUAGAUAUGACCCCUUUGAAAGACUUACAGCUAGGGACGCCUUAAGACAUUCAUUCUUUAUGAGAGAUCACCUUAGGAGAUGAUUAUCCAUUUUUAGAGAUCUAGUGUCCAAGUUGAAUCUGUCAAAAGUGAAAAUAUGGGUGCGUGGAGGAGGAACGCUUGUAAUUAAUAUGUGGGUUUAGUUGAUAAGGGAGGAUGGUUAUACAGCAUCACUUUCCCCUCCAAGCAUGUUUGACCCAAUACUUAUUUAUUUUUAAAAUUUAUUGAACAUGUAUUCUUACAAACCCGUAAUCUGCGGGUAAUGUACAAAACAAAUGUAGUGUUUUUAAGGCAUUAUCCAUAAUUAAGGGGUGGACAGAAACACCUAAUCUGACCCGAAAUCAAAAAACCAGAACCGACCGACCAUACUUCAAUAUGUAGAAAAAAAUAGUAUUAAAAUACUGAACGAUUUAAGCCUCCAUCUUAAUUAAUUGUCUAAAGUUGGAAUUGGAAGGAAGUUUUAAAAAUAGUAGUAUCUAUGUGCAUGGUUGUUUUUCUUUUUUUAAAAUUAAAUUAUAUUUAUUUUAAAAUCAUUAUAUGAUUUUAAAUUUAUUAUUAAAUUAUUUAUUUAGUUUAAAUCAGUUAUAAAUCAAAUUUAAUUAUAAAAUUAGUUAUGGAUAAAUAGCUACUUUUAAGUUUUUCAUAAAAUUCAAUUUAAUUUUUUUUAUUAAAUUAAAAUUUGAUUAUUUUUUAAUAUUUAUCUUUUUAAAAUUAUUUAUUCAUAGUUUAAAAAUCUAUUAUUUUAAAAAAUAAUAAUUUUUACAAAUUAAAAGCUUAAUAAAAAUUAUAUAUUAAUUAUACAAUAAUUUUCUCUUGUGAUUAAAGUUGAAUAUGUUAAAUUGUAUAUAAUAAUUUGUAAUUUAAAUUGAUCUAUUACUAUUUUUAUUAAGAGUACUGACUUUGAUUUAUAUUAGCUUAAUAAACUUUUUAUAUUAAAAACUAUAGAAAAUACAAAGCAAUGUCUAAAUUUUAAUAUUAUUUUUAAGUAACAUAUUAAUGUGAUAUUUUGAAAUUCUUUUGACUUUUAUAUAUAUAUAUAUAUAUAUAUAUGUAUAUAUAUAGACAUUUUAAUAUAUAUAUAUAUAUAUUUUAAUUUUUUAUUUUAAAAUGCUUUAUUAUUAAAUUUAUUUAUGUGAAUAUUUUUUUUUUAAGUAAGAAAUUGCUUCCUCAGAAAACGAAGCGAAAAAAUUUACAAACUUAGUAGGAGGUCGUUUCUUCAUAGAUAUAUAUCUCAAAAGUCUUCAAAAUAUUGAUCCAAAAUAAUUAUUAUAAUAGAUAAAAAUAUCUAUCUUAAGAUAAUUGUUAUUUUUUUUUAAUAUAAUUUUAAUUACUUUAUUUGAAGUAUAUCCUUUAAUUAAUAUAAUUUACAUCACUCAUAAAUUAUUAUUUUUGAUUUUACAUUUAUUAUAAUUAAAACACACUAAAGACGAUAAAUAUAAAUUGAUAAAAUUACUAUUUCUUUUUUCUUUUAUAUAUAUUUUUUUAAUGCAUGUAAAAUCGUCAAAGAUAAAACAUAUUAUGGUAAAGACGGAGUCUUUUGCACGCAUACCCUUGGUGAUGUUAUUUGUUUGAAUUUAUUGCGAACAGUAAUUGAACUUAUGCACGCGUUUAUUUAUUUUUAAUCUUAAUAAUAAUGGUAUAAUUUGAAGCGAGUCAUUUUCGUUUGGUCAUCAGACUAAGAAAAGUAAAAUAAGAAAAGUAGUACAAGUCACCUAUCCAUAUAAGAAAAGUAAAUAUCAACAAAAUUAUUUUACUGUCUUAAUUAAUUUUAUUGUGGAAUCAUUAACAAAGAAAGAGAUGAAAAUAAUUGACACUUAAAAUGCAAAACAAUUAUUGGUAAAAAGGUGGGAAAAAAAAAACUUGCAAAAAUAAAAAAAAGUAACUGAAAUACAAAACUACAAAAUAAAACUACACGUAGAAACACUUGUGAAUGCAUUAAUCAAACAUGAUAUAAUUAUAUAAAAAGAGGUUUAUAAUUUCAAUGCAAAAUUAUAUAAUUGUCGUCUAACAUUAAAGUUUUAACAAAGUCGACAAAAUUAAAACCAUAGAAUCAUUUUGCAAGUAAAAAAAAAAAAGUGAGAUACAUAAUUUUAAUUGAUGCAUAAAAAAAGACACGAUAAAUAUUUGUCGGUGAUAAAUAUAAAGAAUCAUGACAUAAAUAUUUGUCACUUAUAAAUUAAAAUAUACGAGAUAAAUAUUUAUCAUUAAUUAAUAAAUAUUAAAAAAUAUGAGAUAAAUAUUUAUUAUCAAUAAACAAAAAAUGAGAAAUGCAUAUUUAUAACUAAUGCAUAUAAAAAAUAUAUGACAUACUUGUCAUUGAUAAAUAUAAAAAAUUAUAAAAUAAAUAUUUAUCAUUGAUAUAUAAAAAACAUGAGAUAAAUAUUUAUCACGGAUAAUUAAAAAAACAUAAGACAAGUAUUUAUCACUGAAAAAUAGGAGUAUUGAAAAAAUACAAAAUCAAUAUUUUUUAAUAGCACAUACAAAAACACCAAAAAAAUAUUUUUUGUUCAUAAAUACAAAAACAUAAAUAUGAAAAAAUAUAAAAUAAUUAUUUAUCAUUAAUAUAUAAAAUUUAAAUUUUUAUUUGAAAUCUAAACAUGAUAUAUAUAAAAUAAGGAGGCAUCACUACCCGUUACUUGCUAGUUAAUUUAUAGGAAAAUGAUAAGCAUUGCGAAGGACUAUACAAACAAACACACUAUCAUAUGACAUCCUGAUUUUCACACUAGCAACAGGGUGGUUUCUGCCAAAACGCUUUUUAGUUCAUUAAAACUAAACAUGUAUUCGUUAACAUAUGCUUCCUCAUAUUUAUCCCUGCUCAACUUUAUAUGAGAGCUGUCUUUCGAUUUUUCAUAGCAUUUUCUCAUUAGUUUACAGUAUUAUUUAGGAUGUUAUUAAUCCACGCUUAAGUUUAUAGAUAAUAGUAUAUUAUAUAUAUAAUUAGUUUAUCGACUAUUUACUAUAAGUUCAUAUAAUAUUAGUCCGCUUAUCCACUAUCCAUUACAUUUUAUCAAAUAAAUAUAGUCUUAAAAUAUUUCUUAAUGAUAUCAUUUAUUAAUUGAACAAAAUAAUAUAAAGGAAUACAAAUGAUGAAUUAUAUAUAGGAUAAAUAAUUUCAAAUAUCCUUUAACAAACUCAUUAAACUAUUAUAAAAAUAAAACUAACUUAUAAAUGAAUUUACAAUUACAAGAGAAGAUAAGGAUGCACAGAUAUUGCUUUGCCACCUUAUGGAGAAGAGUGGAGACAAAGAAGGAAACUUUGUGUUGUUGAGCUACUUAGCCUCAAAAGGGUUCAAUCUUUUCAAUUCAUAAGAGAAGAAGAAGUGGUAGAAUUGGUUGAUACUUUAAAGGAAACAGGUUCAAGUGAAAAGUCUUGUGUGAAUCUGAAUGAGAUGUUGAUUGCAGCCUCAAAUAACAGUGUCAAGGUGUGUUCUUGGACAAAAGUAUGAUACACCAGAUGGUAGUGUUGGAGAGCUUGGAAGGAAAAUGAUGAAACAGUUAGCAAGUUUCAGUGUGGGAGAUUUUUUUCCUUCAUUGAGUUAGAUUGACACUCUUACAGAUGAUAACAUCAAAGCAAUUCUUCUUAUUUCUUACUAGAUAUCACCAAUGAAACAUGAACGCUGAUAUAGGUACUAGAUACGAUACUGACACUGUCACACGAGGCUAAAGAUUGACAUAUAGGAUUGGGAUGUUGUAUACAUAUUUUUAUUUUUAUAUAAAAAAAAAUGAAAAUUAAGAUUGAUGUAUCAAACUUUCUUAAUAUAAAGUUAUGGUAAUGGUAAUCCUCAGAGUAAGAAGAAUGAUUUAUGAUGCAAUCCUUACAUAAAUAGUCAUAGGAUAAGAAGAUAAAUCAAGUUUUUUGUAAAUUGAAAUAGAAGCAUAAAACUUUCCAUUUUCAUAAUUUCAGGACAUGUUUGCUGGAGCAAGUGAUACAACUUCAACACUUCUUGAGUGGACAUUUGUUGAGCCCAUGAAAAAUAAAAAUGCAAUGAAGAAAGUCCAAGAAGAAAUAAGAAGAGUUGUAGGCCUAGGUACAAAAGAUCAAAAUGAUGUGAAUCAAAUGAACUACUUGAAGUGUGUAGUCAAAGAAUCUAUGAGAUUACAUCCACCUGCUCCUCUUUUGAUACCAAGAGAGACUUUAUCUGAUGUGAAAAUAGAAGGUUUUGAUAUUCCAUAAAAAAACAAGAGUGUUUGUGAAUGCAUGGACAAUUCAGAGGGACCCUGAAUUUUAGAACAAGCCAGAAGAGUUCAUUUCUAGGAGAAGGUGUUGUCUUGGAAUUUCAUUUGGACUUUCUUCUACUAAAUAUGUUCUUGCUAAUCUCUUGUAUUGGUUUGAUUAUUGAAAACUGUCUAAGAUUGGUGAUCAUGUGCAAUACAUUGACAUGAGUGAGGUUUAUGGACUCACUAAUAACAAGAAACUACCACUUUAUCUUGAACCUACAAUACACUCAUAUGAAUCUUGAAAUUAUCUUUUUAUAUAUAGAUAGAUAUCAAAUAUUUAUACUAAAUUAUUUUUAAAAUUUUGUCACUAUCAAACAAGUUUUAUUAAGACAUGCGCGUUUUUGGUAUUGAAAGGUCCAUCUUUCUUUUAAUAAAUCUCUAUAAAUAAAUACAAUACCAUUUCACGCAACCAUUGUUGUUUCUGUUUUAGAAAUUAGGAUUUUAAGAUAGCGAGAGAGAUGUGUGUGAAAACGGGAAAUUUAUUCCUUGGCGAUUAUAUUUUUUCUCGUCUGAAUUUUAUCUCUUAUUUUCCCUCACCACUCAAUCUUGAUUCAAUUUGUCUGUAAUCGACUCAUCUGAACGAAAUUUUAUAUCAAUAUAUUUUGGAGCAUUUUCUUGUUCUUUAUAUUCUUGAACAUUCGAUCUCCAUGAAUCUUGAUCAUCGGCGCCCUAAAAAUUUGAUUCGAUAUUUGAAUAACUGAAUUGUUAUUGCAGGAUAUCAAUCAGAGGUUUCAAUUUUCUGCCGCCUCUGCUUGCUUCGAUAAGCGCCGACAUAUCAGAGCCCUAUUUCGGAGGUUUCGAAUUCAAACCCUAAUAUAUCGAAAAAUGCUGCUGGAAUUUUUUUGGCUUCUUGAUUCGACUUCGAUGUCUUCAGGUUUUCGUUAAAUCUCUUUCUUCUAUUGCAGUGUCCAAAAACUCGUUUGGCUUGAAUCUUUUGACACAGCUUUUUUGUUGGUACAUAAACUUGUUAUUUUUUUACAAGAUUAAGAAUAAGAAUUUAUAAUCUUGAUUAUUUGGGCACAUAAGCAACGUCUAAAAUUGAAAAUAUAAAUGAGUUAUGUUUUCACCAUAUGAAAUUGGUUGUGCUACGUCUCAGUCUCAAUGAAUUUGAAAACCUAAUUAAUUCUUUGCUCAAAUGGGGAUAUGCUAUAUGAACACUUUCUUUGGUGCUUAGUUAUAUAUAACUCGUAAUUCAGAUUGUAAAUUAGGAAGGUAUGCCUAAGAAAUUAUGAUGCUAAGUGAAGUUUUGCCAUGAGUUUCAAUUUCUAAUAUAAAAGUAAGGUUUGAAGGUCUAUAAGGCCAUCACUACAAUUUUUCUGCCAGUAUCAUAAAACUAGGAGAAAGUAAUAAUCCUAUGAGUCUAAUUUCGAUGAUCUGAAUUUUUGUCCGUAAAACUAUGAGAAAGUAACGAUCCCAUGAAUCUAAUUUUGAUGAAAUGAUUUUUUGCCCAUAUAGUAAAAUUAUGAGAAAUUAAGGAUACCAUGAUUCUAAUUCUGAUUAUAUGAUUUUUUGCCCAUAUCGUAAAACUAUGAGAAAGUAAAACUAUAAGAAAGUAAAACUAUGAGAAAGUAAGGAUCCUAUGAUUCUAAAUUCGAAGAUAUGAUUUUUAUCCAUAUUGUAAAACUAUGAGAAGUAACGAACUCAUGAUUCUUAAAUCAAUGAUAUGUUUUUUUGCCCAUAUCAAGAAAUUGAGAGGAUAUGAUAAACCUCAUAUACCAAUGUGAUACAUGAGAAUUGACGGCUUCAAACAUGAUCUUUGAGUUCAUGUCCCAAAAAUCUGUUGCAAUAUAAAUCUUGUAUUUUUAUUGUGAAACUCAAUGGAUGUGUAAAAGAAUAGACGAACCAAAAUGUGAGUUUAUGGUUGGCGACCCUAAAAUAGAUUGCAUUAUGAAAUAAUUCAUACGGUAAAACCUCGGAUGAUAUACAUGAGAAUUGACGGAAUCGAAUGCGAGCUUUAUGUCCCUAAACUAAAUAGCAAUAUGAAUGCGAGCUUGAUAUGAUUUUUUGCCUAUAUAAAGAAAUUGGGAGGAUAUGAUAAAUCUCAUAUACAUAUGUGAUACAUGAGAAUUGACGGAGUCAAACAUGAUCUUUGAGUUCAUGUCCCUAAAAUCUAUUGCAAUAUAAAUCUUGUAUUUAUAAUCUGAAACUCAAUGGAUGUGUAUAAGAAUUGACGGACCAAAAUGUGAGUUUAUGGUUGGCGACCCUAAAGUAGAACAUGAUCUUUGAGUUCAUGUCCCUAAAAUCUAUUGCAAUAUAAAUCUUGUAUUUAUAAUCUGAAACUCAAUGGAUGUGUAUAAGAAUUGACGGACCAAAAUGUGAGUUUAUGGUUGACGACCCUAAAAAUAGAUUGCAUUAUGAAAUUAUUCAUACUGUAAAAUCUCGGAUGAUAUACACGAGAAUUGAAAGACUCGAAUGCAAACUUGAUAUGAUUUUUUGCCCUUAUCAAGAAAUUAGGAGGAUAUGAUAAACCUCAUAUACCAAUGUGAUACAUGAAAAUUGAAGGAUUCAAACAUGAUCUUUGAGUUCAUGUCCCUAAAAUCUAUUGCAAUAUAAAUCUUGUAUUUAUAUUAAGAAACUCAAUGGAUAUGUAUAAGAAUUGACAGACAAAAAUGUGAGUUUAUGGUUGACGACCCUAAAGUAGAUUGCAUUAUGAAAUUAUUCAUAGUGUAAAAUCUCGGAUGAUAUACAUGAGAAUUGACAGAUUCAAAUACGAGCUUGAUGUCCCUAAACUAAAUAGCAAUAUGAAUGCGAGCGUGAUAUGAUUUUUUGCCCAUAUCAAGAAUUUGAGAGGAUAUGAUAAACCUCAUAUACCAAUGUGAUACAUGAGAAUUGACGGAUUCAAACAUGAUCUUUGAGUUUAUGUCCUUAAAAUCUAUUGCAAUAUAAAUCUUGUAUUUAUAAUCUGAAACUAAAUGGAUGUGUAUAAGAAUUGAAGGACCAAAAUGUGAGUUUAUGGUUGACGACCCUAAAAUAGAUUGCAUUAUAAAAUUAUUCAUACUGGUAAAAUCUCGGAUGAUAUACACGAGAAUCGAAAGACUCGAAUGCAAACUCGAUAUGAUAUUUUGCCCAUAUCAAGAAAUUAGAAGGAUUUCAUAAACCUCAUAUACCAAUGUGAUACAUGAGAAUUGACGGAUUCAAACAUGAUCUUUGAGUUCAUGUGCCUAAAAUCUAUUGCAAUAUACAUCUUGUAUUUAAAUUGUGAAACUCAACGGAUGGGUAUAAGAAUUGAUGGAUCAAAAUGUGAGUUUAUGGUUGACGACCCUAAAGUAGAUUGCAUUAUGAAAUUAUUCAUACUGUAAAAUCUCGGAUGAUAUACAUGAGAAUUGACAUAUUCAAAUGCGAGCUUGAUGUCUCUAGACUAAAUAACAAUAUGAAUGCGAGCUUGAUAUAAUUUUUUGCCCAUAUCAAGAAAUUAGGAGGAUAUGAUAAACCUCAUAUACCAAUGUGAUACAUGAGAAUUGACGAAUUCAAACAUGAUAUUUGAGUUUAUGUCCCUAAAAUCUAUUGCAAUAUAAAUCUUGUAUUUAUAUUUUGAAAUUCAAUGGAUGUAUAUAAAGAAUUGACGGACCAAAAUGUGAGUUUAUGGUUGACGACCCUAAAGUAGAUUGCACUAUGAAAUUAUUCAUAUUGUAAAAUCUCUGAUGAUAUACACGAGAAUUGAAAUACUGGAAUACGAGCUUGAUAUGAUUUUUUGCCUAUAAUAAGAAAUUGGGAGGAUAUGAUAAACCACAUAUAUCAAUUUGAUACAUGCGAAUUGACGGAUUAAAACAUGAUCUUUGAGUUCAUGUCCCUAAAAUCUAUUGCAAUAUAAAUCUUUUAUUUAUAUUGUGAAACUCAAUGGAUGUGUAUAAUAAUUGGCGGACUAAAAUGUGAGUUUAUGGUUGACGACCCUAAAGUAGAUUGCAUUAUUAAAUUAUUCAUAAAGUAAAAUCUCGAAUGAUAUACACGAGAAUUGAAAGACUGGAAUGCGAGCUUGAUAUGAUUUUUUGCCCAUAUCAAGAAAUUGAGAGAAUAUGAUAAACAUCAUAUAUCAAUGUGAUACAUGAGAAUUGACGGAUUCAAACAUGAUCUUUGAGUUCAUGUCCCUAAAAUCUAUUGCAAUAUAAAUCUUGUAUUUAUAUUGUGAAACUCAAUGGAUGUGUAUAAGUAUUGACGGACCAAAAUGUGAGUUUACAGUUGACGACCUUAAAGUAGAUUGCAUUAGGGAAUUAUUCAUACUGUAAAAUCAUGGAUGAUAUACAUGAGAAUUGACAGACUCGAAUGCGAACAUGAUGUCCCUAAACUAAGUACCAAUAUGAAUGCGAGCUUGAUAUGAUUUUUUGCCCACAUCAAGGAAUUGGGAGGAUAUGAUAAACCUUAUAUACCCAUGUGAUACAUGAGAAUUGACGGAUUCAAACAUGAUCUUUGAGUUCUUGUCCUAAAAUCUAUUGCAAUAUAAAUCUUGUAUUUAUAUUAUUAAACUCAAUGAAUGUGUAUAAUAAUUGACGGACCAAAAUGUGAGUUUAUGGUAGAUGACCCUAAAGUAGAUUGCAUUAUGAAAUUAUUCAUACUGUAAAAUCUCGGAUGAUAUACAUGAAAAUUGACAGACUCGAAUGCGAGCUUGAUGUCCCUAAAAUAAAUAGCAAUAUGAAUGCUAGCUUAAUAUGAUUUUUUGCCCAUAUCAAGAAAUUGGGAGAAUAUGAUAAACCUCAUAUAUCAAUGUGAUACAUGCGAAUUGACAGAUUCAAACAUGAUAUUUGAUUUCAUGUCCCUAAAAUCUAUUGCAAUAUAAAUCUUGUAUUUAUAUUGUGAAACUCAAUGGGUGUGUAUAAGAAUUGACGGACCAAAAUGUUAGUAUAUGGUUGGCGACCCUAAAGUAGAUUGCAUUAUAAAAUUAUUCAUACUGUAAAAUCUAGGAUGAUAUACAUGAGAAUUGAUAGACUCGAAUGCGAGCUUGAUGUCCCUAAAAUAAAUAACAAUAUGAAUGCGAGCUUGAUAUGAUUUUUUGUCCAUAUCAAGAAAUUGAAAGGUUAUGAUAAACCUUGUAACACCCCAAAUUUUAUAAUAAAUUAUUUUAUUAAUUAAAUAGAAAUUUAGAUAAUUAAAUUGGUGUUAAAAUUAUUUUAUAAUAUAUGUUGAUUAGUUUUAUGAUUAAUUUUCCUUAUAUGCAUGAUUUCUGUGAUGUACUAGUUUUAUAAAUAUUAGAUUACAUGAGCGAUAUAAAUAAUAAAUAUUAUAUUUUACUCUUUGAUAUAUUUUUUUAAUAGUAUUUUUGUGUAAUAUAUAGUUUAAAGAAAAAGACUUUAUGCGAUUUUACGUGUAUAUACGUGUACCCAAUUAAUGUAAUAUUUUUGUGUGCGUUUGACUGAUAUUAAGUAUGGACGUAGUUAUAUUUCAAUUAUUUAUAACUACUUUCUAUUUUUAGUUAUUUUUUUUAUAAAUAUCAUCUUGAGAUAAAAUUGAUAUUGUGUUUGAUUUCUUUUAUUUUUAUAUACUUUUUAUGACAUUGUGAUUUUAUAUAUAUUUAUUAUAAUUUAGUAAUUAAUAUAAAGUGUUGGUGUAAUAUUUAUUUAUUUUAUAAUUUUGACUAAUUUCUAAUAUGAUGAUAUUAUUAUAAUGUGAGUAUUUUGAGAAAUAAGUAUAAUUGUAGAUAUUAUUUUGAAUGUGAGAGUUUUAAUNNNNNNNNNNNNNNNNNNNNNNNNNNNNNNNNNNNNNNNNNNNNNNNNNNNNNNNNNNNNNNNNNNNNNNNNNNNNNNNNNNUUUUAUUUUUAUAUACUUUUUUAUGACAUUGUGAUUUUAUAUAUAUUUAUUAUGAUUUAGUAAUUUAAUAUAAAUGUUGGUGUAAUAUUUAUUUAUUUUAUAAUUUUGACUAAUUUCUAAUAUGAUGAUAUUAUUAUAAUGUGAGUAUUUUGAGAAAUAAGUAUAAUUGUAGAUAUUAUUUUGAAUGUGAGAGUUUUAAUAAUUAGUAAUAUGUUUUUUAUAUUGAUUAUUUUAAUUACUCUAAUUUAACAUAUAUUAACUAUGAAAUAUUAGUAAUGUUUUGAAAAUUUAAUGAUGUUUGGAAGAGUAUUAAAAAGAAUGAGAUUAAGUAACAAUUAAUUUUGUUUUAAAAAAAUAAUAAUAGUAAAACAUAUAUUAAAUAAGGGACAAAUGGGGUUGACGCAUUUAUGUUAACCCUAAUUACGUUAAUAAAAUAAAAAUAAGAAAGGAGCUGCAGUAGCCGUAAAACCAAAGAGAAACACAACAACAACCUAUAGAUUGACACCGACGAUCGAUAAUUGUUCAUGAAAAGUUUCUCCGUUCUCGUCCAAAUUUCAGUAUGUCGUUUUAUUCAUUUAGGUAGUCAAAUAAACAUACUUCCUCAAAUUUUUAACCAUCCAAAUUUCUCUCUAAAAUCCCCGACUUCUCCGCUUGUUAAAUUACUUAGUUUGAAUCGUUCUUCUUCACCGUAAGUCCGAUUUGAGUGAAACCAACGCCAAAACGAUCGUGUGAAAAAUGGUUAUUUUAUCCACUGAUUUGUUUUCUGAUUUAUGAUCGAUUGAAAAACAAAGAGUCAAUGAACAAAGGUUGUUUGCUCGUGGAAUCGUAGUCGCGUGUGAAAGAGUCAAAAUAAGGUAAGGGGUGAGAGAGCGUUUGAAUUCAUGAGUGUAAUAUAUUGUGAGAUGAACGGGAAAACCAUAUUUCCCAACGAUUCAUCUGGGGCUCGCUACGUAUGGCAGUAGCCCUUUGAGGGAUAAAUUAAUUAAUGUGAAAAUAUGGAAAUUGUGAGAUUAAAAUAUAGAAUAGAAAUAUUUGUAGGGUGUUGAUUGAUUUAAUUUCGUUAAAUGUGUGGCAUUUGAUAUUAUUGUGAUAUUUGAUUUAAUUUCUUUAAAUGUGUGGUGUGUGAUAUUAUUGUGAUAUUGAUUGUUGAAUUAAUUUUAUGCAUAUGUUUGAUUAGAUGAAUUUAAAUGAUGUUAUAAUAAAAAUAGAUGUGUUGUGAUAAUUAUAUGUAAUGAUGAUAAUGUAUGAUUAAUAAUGGUGAUGUGAUAAAUUUGUGAUGAAUAUAUGUGUUGCUGUAUGAUUGAUGAUAGUGAUUCUAUAAAUUUGUGAUGAGUUUAUGUGACAAUGUUGAUGAUGUGUGAUUAAUUAUAGUCAUGUUAUAAAUUGUGAUGAGAAUAUUGUGAUUUCAAUUUAUGUCUCAGAUGACGGUAUUAAUGGAGUAUCAUAUACCAACGAGGGGAGAAAAUAAAUAUUGUGAAUUUGUGAAGUGGAGAUUAUUUUGUCAUCAUAUAGGUAGGGCCUGACAAGCCUAGUGAUUCCGGGGAAGUACAACUGAAUGAGCCUGAUCGUGGCGGGCUUUUGUCGAGUCUUUAGGCAAGAUUGUUAGACCUUGGAGGUAUUCGGGUGGGGAAUUCCUAGGUGACUUGGAGGUAGCACUCCAAAUGUCGGGAGCUACCACGCAACACACGUUUACCUCGACUGUCACGUAUAUGUGUCUCGGGGUGGCGGUCUUUUGUCGAGUCUUAAGGCAAGAUUGUUAGACCUUGGAGGUAUUCGGGUGGGGAAUUCCUAGGUGACUUGGAGGUAGCACUCAAAAUGUUGGGAGCUGCCACACAACACACGCUUACCUCGACUGUCACGUAUAUGUGUCUCGGGUUGAGUUGAGGGGAUCUAUGAGGAGAUGACCAAUUUGAAUUGUCCGUCCACUGGGAUGGUGGCAUAGUAUCAAGCCUCCUAACCAAGUACUUCAGAGUUAGAAUGGUACCACAUUGUGAAGUAGAGUCUAAGCUCAUGCAUAUCAUUGCAUUUCCUUGUGAUUGUUUCAUUGUGAUUGAUGUGUUUUAAAAGUAAUAAUAAUUACUCUUAGAUUAUUUGAUGCAUAUUAUAAGGAGAUGAUCAUUUUACUUGAGUGAAUUUGAUGUUAUAAUAUGAUACAAUUACUUAAAUAUUUUGAUAUAUCGUAAUGUGAUUAUGAUACGGCCUAUUAUGAUUGUUGCGUGUUCUUCUUACUUAUAUUAUACUAUUAACAUGAUUUCGAAACUCACCUCUUUCGUUGUUUGUGUUUGACUGGUCUGGCCCUGCGUUUGCGAAAUCGCAGUUAUUACAGGUUAAUGAAUCUUGAAGUUCAAGUUUGGGAGGAACCACGCUCUGAUAGGUGAUACCGGGAAUAAGGACUUAAAUUGAGUUUUACUUUUUAAUUUGAAACGAAUUUUUGUAUGAAUAUCUAAUAAGUACUAGUAAGUUUUUAAAUUAAAUCAAGUAAUAAUACUUAAAUAAAGCCUAUUGAGAUUACACUAUUUUGAUAGAGAAAAUAAGUUUAAAAUGUUAUUUUUGAUUUUUGAGAAACAUGAUAUCCUAAGUUAAAAAUAAAAGUUUUUAUUUUCUUGUAAAUAUAUUUUUAUUUAUCUACUGCUAAUUUUAUAGAAAUAUAAUAUAAAUUAAUAUAUAUAUUAUUUUGGGGUUUAGGGUGUCACAAACAUCACAUACCAAUAUGAUACAUGAGAAUUGACGGAUUUAAACAUGAUCUUUGAGUUUAGGCCCCUAAAUCUAUUGAAAUAUAAAUCUUGUAUUUAUAUUGUGAAACUCAAUGGAUGUGUUUGAGAAUUGGGAGACGAAAAUGUGAAUUUAUGGUUGACGACUCUAAAGUAGAUUGCAUUAUGAAAUUAUUCAUACUGUAAAAUCUCGGAUGAUAUACACGAGAAUUGAAAGACUCUAAUGCGAGCUUGAUAUGAUCUUAUGCCUAUAUCAAGAAAUUAGGAGGAUAUGAUAAACCUCAUAUAUCAAUGUGAUACAUGCGAAUUGACGGAUUCAAACAUGAUCUUUGAUUUCAUGUCCCUAAAAUCUAUUGCAAUAUAAAUCUUGUAUUUAUAUUGUGAAACUCAUUGAGUGUGUAUAAGAAUUGACGGACCAAAAUGUGAGUUUAUGGUUGAAGAACCUAAAGUAGAUUGCAUUAUAAAAUUAUUCAUACCGUAAAAUCUCGGAUGAUAUACACGAGAAUUGCAAGACUCGAAUGCGAGCUUGAUAUGAUUUUUUGCCCAUAUCAAGAAAUUUGGAGGAUAUGAUAAAACUCAUAUACCAAUGUGAUACAUGAGAAUGGACGGAUUCAAACAUGAUAUUUGAGUUCAUGUCCCUAAAAUCUAUAGCAAAAAUAAAUCUUGUAUUUAUAUCGUGAAACUCAAUGGAUGUGUAUAAGAAUUGACGGACCAAAAUGUGAGUUUAUGGUUGACGAUCCUAAAGUAGAUUGCAUUAUGAAAUUAUUUAUACUGUUAAAUCUCGGAUGACAUAUAUGAGAAUUGAUAGACUCGAAUGCGAGCUUGAUGUCCCUAAAAUAAAUAGCAAUAUGAAAGCGAGCUUGAUAUGAUUUUUUGCCCAUAUCAAGAAAUUGAGAGGAUAUGAUAAACCUCAUAUACCAAUGUGAUGCAUGAGAAUUGACGGAUUCAAACAUGAUCUUUGAGUUUAGGUUCCUAAAAUCUAUUGCAAUAUAAACCUUGUAUUUAUAUUGUGAAACUCGAUGGAUGUGUAUGAAAAUUGAGGGACCAAAAUGUGAGUUUAUGGUUGACGACUCUAAAGUAGAUUGCAUUAUGAAAUUAUUCAUACUGUAAAAUCUCGGAUGAUAUACACGACAAUUGAAAGACUCGAAUGCGAGCUUGAUAUGAUUUUUUGCCUAUACCAAGAAAUUGGGAGGAUAUGAUAAACCUCAUAUAUCAAAGUGAUGCAUGCGAAUUGACGGAUUCAAACAUGAUCUUUGAGUUCAUGUCCCUAAAAUCUAUUGCAAUAUAAAUCUUGUAUUUAUAUUUUGAAACUCAAUGGGUGUGUAUAAGAAUUGACGGACCAAAAUGUGAGUUUAUGGUUGACGACCCUAAAGUAGAUUGCAUUAUAAAAUUAUUCAUACUGUAAAAUCUCAGAUGAUAUACACGAGAAUUAAAAGACUCGAAUGCGAGCUUGAUAUGAUUUUUGGCCCAUAUCAAGAAAUUGGGAGGAUAUGAUAAACCUCAUAUACCAAUGUGAUACAUGAGAAUUGACGGAUUCAAACAUGAUAUUUGAGUUCAUGUCCCUAAAAUCUAUUGCAAUAUAAAUGUUGUAUUUAUAUAGUGAAACUUGAUGGAUGUGAAUAAGAAUUGACGGACCAAAAUGUGAGUUUAUGGUUGACGACCCUAAAGUAGAUUGCAUUAUGAAAUUAUUCAUACUGUAAUAUCUCGGAUGAUAUACAUGAGAAUUCACAGACUCGAAUGCGAGCUUGAUGUCCCUAAACUAAAUAAGAAUAUGAAUGCGAGCUUGAUAUGAUUUUUUUCCUAUAUCAAGAAAUUGGGAGGAUAUGAUAAACCACAUAUACCAAUGUGAUACCUGAGAAUUGCUGGAUUCAAACAUGAUUUUUGAGUUCAUGUCCCUAAAAUCUUUUGCAAUAUAAAUCUUGUAUUUAUAUUGUGAAACUCAAUGGAUGUGUAUAAGAAUUGACGGACCAAAAUGUGAGUUUAUGGUUGACGACCCUAAAUUAUAUUGCAUUAUGAAAUAAUUUAUACUGUAAAAUCUCGGAUUAUAUUUAUGAGAAUUGACAGACUCGAAUGUGAGCUUGACGUCCCUAAACUAAAUAGCAAUAUGAAUGCGAGCUUGAUAUGAUUUUUUCCCCAUAUCAAGAAAUUGAGAGAAUAUGAUAAACCUUAUAUACCAAUGUGAUACAUGAGAAUUGACAGAUUCAAACAUGAUCUUAUGGUUCAUGUCCCUAAAAUCUAUUGCUAUAUAAAUCUUGUAUUUAUAUUGUGAAACUCAAUGGAUAUGUAUAAGAAUUGACAGACCAAAAUGUGAGUUUAUGGUUGAUGACCCUAAAGUAGAUUGCAUUAUGAAAUUAUUCUUACUAUAAAAUCUCUGAUGAUAUACACGAGAAUUGAAAGACUCGAAUGCGAGCUUGAUAUGAUUUUUUGCCUAUAUCAAGAAAUUGAGAGGAUAUGAUAAACCUCAUAUAUCAUUGUGAUACAUGAGAAUUGACGGAUUCAAACAUGAUCUUGGAGUUCAUGUGCCUAAAAUCUAUUGCAAUAUAAAUACUAAUAUUCAUGAAAUUUCAAUCGAAAUUUAAUUUAAUUGAAUUAUUUUUCAAUAAUAAAAAUUUAAUUUUUGAAUUUUUCAUGAGUUUCAGUCGAAAAUUUGAAGUUUCCGGUAGUUAUUUCUCAAUAUCGGAGAUUUCAAAUUUUUGAUUGAAUCUCCUCGAAAUUUCAUUUGAAAUUUUCAGUAUUGAAAAAUAACUAUCAGAAAUUUCAAAUUUCUGGUUAAAACUCCCGAAAAUUUCAUUUCAUCCUGAAAUAUCCGGUACAGUUUUGUUUUUUUAAUUUUAAUUUUUACAAAUUUUAUUUUUAUAUUCUAUUUAUUUUCAAUGAGGAUCAGAAGAGCGAAAAAUAUCGUUGAAGUUUUUUUUCCUCUUACAAUUGUGCACUAAAGAAGAAAAGAAUAAUCGAAAAGGAUAAAAAUGGAAGCAUUUUUGUGCUCCUUUAUUACACUCAUCAAUUAUUUCAAACCGGAGAUAUGUUUAAUCAUGAACAAAGAUAACUCAAACAUGGAUGAAACAUCUAUACAUUUUGAAUGUCAAAUUCACGAAAAGUCACAACUUUUAGAAUUCAAAAAUAUUGCGUUAAAAUUAUAUCUAACUUUUAGAUGUUCAAAUAUACUUGAUAUUUAUUUGUGUUCAAAUGUUUAUAUAAAAAAGUUGUAUUUAACGACAUUUAAAAUUGUGUUUUUGUAAAUAAUUAAUGAAUUGUAAGUACAUCUUUGUAUUUGUUAACCAUAUAUUGCACAUAAUUAAUUAUGUAUUUGGACUGUAUUAAUCAUCUAAUAAAUUGUUGUAGAAAUUUAAUGUAAAUUUUUGUCUCAAAUCAAAUAUAUUAUUGAAAUUUAUUUUCCAAAAAUUAGAUAUGUAUAUUAUACAUAAAUUUAAUGGACCUUUUUUGAAGUUGAUGUAAAGAAAGAAGAUAUAUCUCCCUAAUUUAAAGUUUUGGGCUAACAAAAGAAAUAUAUUGUUACUAGCAUUGACGUUUUUUUUCUUUCUAUUAUUCAUUGAUGAUUUUUUUUUCAGAAUAGUGAUUACUAUUUGUUAAAAACUAUAAGAAUAUUUUUAAUAGAAAAAUAGGCUACACAAAAUCUAUCUAUUUAUUAUAGGUAUAGAUAUCUUUUAAAAAACUAAGAUGGAUUGAUAUGGGCGAAAUCUGCCGAUACACCGAUUUAAAACGGCUGCUCUUUCUAAAUCUUAUUUUCCUUUGUAUGAUCGAGAAUAUAUCAUUCUUCUUAGAUUCUCCAUGAUGCAAAACCGCAACAUUGAUAAAUUAUAAUCCUUUGGAACUUUAGAGCCGUAACAAUCAUCAAGUAUGACAAUUUGGUGUUUUAUGGGUGCGAUCAGAAGAAUGGUGCCACAACUACCACCACCACCACCUAAAUGCAACACGUAUCCCUUUUUUGUAGCUUCAUAUAGUACGAGGUUUCUCAGUAUUUAAACACACAUGACCAACCAACAACAUAGUACAUCAAAGAAAAAGAAGAAAAAACAUAGAUAUUUUGUGCAUGUCAAUCAACAUGCUGGAAGGAAAAAUGUUUCCACAUCUACCAUCAUUUCUAAAGCAAGUUCCACACGACCUAAAUUCCACCCUUUACAUGUUUCUUUCAUUCUUUAUCAGCAUGCUGUUUGUGUUCAAGUUUACAAGAAGAAACAAACUUAAUCUACCUCCAUCCCCACCUAGAUUGCCAAUAAUUGGAAACUACCUUCAACUAGGAACACUUCCUCAUCGCUCUUUUCAAUCCCUGUCACAAAAAUAUGGUCCUUUAAUGCUGUUGCAGCUUGGUCAGCUUCGUGUGUUGGUGGUUUCCUCAGUAGAUAUGGCAAAAAAAGUCAUGCAAACACAUGACAUGGUUUUUGCGAGCCGACCAUGUUUGACAUCAUCAAAAGCCCUACUAUAUGGAUGUAAAGACAUUGCUUUUGCAUCUUAUGGUGAUACAUGGAGACAGAAAAAGAAACUGUGUGUGAUUGAAUUGUUGAGUCAGAAACGGGUGCAGUCAGUGCAGUUUAUUAGAGAAGAGGAAGCUGAGGCAUUGAUUGAUAAGAUACAUAAAGCGGUGAAUUUGAGAAAUGAUUGCUGUGUGAACCUUAGUGAGAUGCUGAUUGCAACAGCAAACAACAUAAUCUUUAGGUGUAUAUUUGGAAGGAAAUAUGAUGGUUGCCAUUUUGGAGAGGCUGGGAGGGAGAUAAUGGCUCAAAUUUCAGAUUUUAGUAUGAGAGAUUUGUUUCCUUUGUUGGGUUGGAUUGAUGUUCUCACUGGCCAAAUUAAAAAAAUUAAGGUCACUUUUGAACAAAUGAAUGAUUUCUUUGAUAGUAUGAUUGUGGAACAUAAGAUGGCUAGGAGGGACCGCAACAAGAAAGAUUUCCUAGAUAUUCUACUUCAACUUCAGGAUGAUGGUCUUUCAGACUUCGAGCUCACACAAAAUGACUUAAAAGCACUCUUAAUGGUCUUUCUUUCUAUCCCUUUAUCCCCAUGGAAAAACAAAUUCAUCACCAUUUCUAUUCAAAUAUGUUGCAAAAGCAAUUAAAAAAUAUUGGUUUAUGUAAUCUCAACUAAUUAAAAGCUCAAAAUAUAUUAAGUGCCUAAUUUAUAAAACAUCAGAAGUUGUUUUUAUAUUAGCAUGAGUUGAUUGGCAAUGGCUAAUAAGCAUUAUAAUCUGUUUUCUGUUUCCAUAAUUUCAGGACAUGUUUUUAGGAGGAAGUGACACAACUUCAACAACAGUAGAAUGGGCUAUGGCAGAGCUUGUAAAAAAUCCAGGCAUAAUGAAGAAAGCACAGGAGGAGGUAAGAAGGGUUGUAGGGAAUAAAUCAAAAAUAGAGGAGAGUGAUGUCAACCAAAUGGACUACAUGAAAUGUGUAAUCAAAGAAACUUUGAGGCUACAUCCAGCUGCUCCUCUUUUGGCUCCUAGAAAAACAACAUCUAGUGUUAAACUCGGGGGUUAUGAUAUUCCUGAUAAAACAAUGGUAUAUGUUAACGCGUGGGCAAUCCAGAGGGACCCUGAAUUUUGGGAAAGGCCAGAAGAGUUUCUACCUGAGAGAUUUGAAAACAGCAAGGUUAAUUUCAAUGGUCAAGACUUUCAAUUUAUCCCGUUUGGUUCUGGGAGAAGAAAAUGCCCAGGUAUUGCGUUUGGUCUAGCUUCCUCCGAGUACACGGUUGCUAAUCUUUUGUAUUGGUUUGAUUGGAAGCUACCUACAAAUGGUGCAUCUCUUCAAGACAUAGACAUGACUGAGAGAUUUGGGCUCACUGUCAACAAAAAAGAUCCUUUGUGCCUCCAACCAAUACGAUACAGCAAUUUCUAAGAAUAAUUUCACACUUCUUUUUAUACUUGUCCAUCUAUAGUGAAAAAUAAGAUCAACAAAAAAGAUCUUUUGUGCCUUCAACCAAUACCAUACAACAAUUCUAAGAAUAAUUUCACACUUCUUUUUAUACUUAUCCAUCUAUAGUAAAAAAUAAGAAACAGUAAAGGUGCUCAUCUCUAAACACUGAUCAUCAUAGCUUAUUUUGUUUUAUUGCUUUUGUAAUGUAACUUGUAGUGAACAAGUUUUAUGCAAAUAAAUUUCAAAAAAUGUGGUUAGUGGCUUUCAGUUUCACAGUCAAGCAAGCAAGUUGGGCUGUCUCAAGCGUUUUCUUCAUUUUGCCCGUUUUCAGACACUACACGGACUGAUGAGAACGUGGUUCCCAUCACGGACGAAUAAAAUAGAGGUAGAAGGGAACAUAGAGGUAGAAGGGAACAUAACACAAUUAAACGUACCUUACAAGCAGAGCUUUUCUUGGAUACAUCUAAGUCAACUUUUCUCUUCAUUUCUCUCCAUUAAAUCGCUUCAGGACACACCAGCGCCUAGAGAAAAGGACUGUGAUUUGAAUCACUCUACAAUGGCAAUUAGUAUUCGUUUUCAUGCAUUUAUCUUUCUCUAUUGGAACCCGUUGGGCCCUGAUGGAACCAACACAACUUGCAUGGCAAUAAUGAUUUCGGACCAACAGGAUUUAAGGAGAAUGGGAAGUAUUUUUUUCAAUAAAAUGAAAAAUAUGAUGUGUUCUUUUCAAGUAUAAUAGACUGGGAAGGGCUUACAACCCAUGACAACUAUGCAGCCUAUAAAUUUCUAUUCUUAUUGUAUAAUCAUCAAACUAUAUCUUGCUAUCAAAAUUGGAAGGAGAAACCAUCUCGAGGCUUGCCUUCAAGUAUAAACCAACAGGCCUAUAUAAAGUUGUUCUCAUAUGUGCCAUUCACUAAUGAUGAUUCGAGAGUUGAGGCAUUUCAGAAAAAUCUCCAGGCAUGUAUACGUUCUUUGGGCAAAAGUGGAGGAUUCCUUAGGCAGCAAAGCACACUAACACAUGACAGCAAUACUUGGCCUCAUAAACUAAUCUGCAUGAAGGUGGUGCUUCCUCUUUCGGCAACGAUUAAUAUACCAAGUGGCAUGUUUCUGUAGGCCCAUGCCCAUGAGAACCUUGAGGCUUGUGAGCAUAACAUAGGUCAUUGCUAAAAAAAGCAGAAUCCAGAAAAUUCUCCACGGAAGAGGAUUUUGAGGAAUGUUUGCAGCAAAUACUGGGGUUAGCACUCGAAUAACCUAAGAACAAGUAAUAAAAGGAAACAGUAUAUACAGACAUUUAAUCGGAUGCCAAAAAACCAGAAAAACUAAAUAAACAUAUCUAAAACUCAUUUAUGCUUACCACACACGCCGGAGCAAGGGGGACAAAGGUUAGGUUUUUCUUUACACCCUCAGUUUGCAAAUUUAGAGUCUACAUAAAGUGAACAUUCAAGGUCAGACGUAUAUUCUUAACACACAAAAAGGUUAAUGCAAUGUUCAUGUCAUACUUAUAAAGAUCCAGAAAUACAUAAUUCUUAACACACUAACAGUAGCUUUCUCAGGUGUCAACAAAAUACCAUCUUUUUGUUUCGACACAGUACACUUCUUUGCACUAAUGCAUAAUAUAGUUCUUCACUUGUUAACACUAUGGAAAUUGUUAGAAUAUUAGAAAAUAUCUUAUAAUAUCUUUUAUAUUAUAUUAGAGUAUCUUGUGUUAUUUUCUAUGAUCAAUUUAUAAUCAUAGAGAAUCUUAGAAUAUCUCUCUUUAUUAUUAUGAUUUAUUCCUAAUUUAGGAUUUAGUCUAUGUUUCUCUAUAAAUAGAGAUUAGUAUUGAGUCUAUUGUAAUCAAGUCAGCAUUAAACUAUUAUCAAUAAUAUUCAAACCCUUAUUAUUUUCUCUCCUUCUUUUCUCUAAAAUCCCACAACUUCAACAGAAAUAAACUACAUGAGCGGGAAAGAAAAAAAAAAGGGAAAGUGUUAUCCAAGACAAUUGAAAAAUCGGAAAAAAUACCAGAUUUAUUUAAUUUAGAAAACUGAACCAUAAACUUUCUUCUCAUUAAAAAUAUUGUGGCAAAUAACUGCAAAAGGCAUUUGAAAUAUAUUCAUGGAGGAUCUUGGUGCGUUCAGGUGUGUUGCUAAAAAAUCCACUCAACUUUUCAGCUAAAAUAAACAAUUUGAAUGAAGAUACAACAUUAUCUUAUCAAAGUGGUUCGUUCCAGCUGUAUAUAGAAUAUACCUUCCAAAUAAUAAACAACCAAUCAUAUUGCAUUAACAAUAUCCACAUAAGAAUAAGAAGAAAUACCUGUUUACAUAGGUCUUCAAGGAACUCAGAGUAUGCAAUGGGCUUAAUGUCAUUGAAUUUAGCAAUGAAUGAAUGCUUGAUAAUAUCAAUAGUCAUUUCACAUACAUAAACCAAGAGGAUAUUCUGCACCAUAUAAAAUAUGUGUUAGGAGCAAGGCAAAAUCCAUUGAUUCCACAUGAUAAAUUAAACUUCUUCAAUAAAUCGUAGGAGCAAAAAUAUUUCCAAAUCUUACAGUGAGAAAGCUUUCAAACCACGGACCCUCUGCCUCGAGAAUAUUUUGAGCCAAAACAAAUAAGAUAAAUGCUGAAAUAUGAAAUCUCUCCACAGAAUCUGCUUGUCACCAUAAGUAAUGGGAAAAAAUAAAUUAACAACUGACGAGACCAAAUGAAAAAAACUAAUGUAAAUGACAAAUGCAGAACAAACAUCUUAUUGAACACAUGCUCAUUUAGCCCAUUUCAAUAAAAAAAACAAAUUUGACUUGGUGCGUGCAUGUGCGUUUAAUAUUAGAUGCAAUUUCAAUGUAUGAAGUUUACAUUAUCGGUACUUCUGCAAAUAAAUUUUACUAAAAAAAGUAGCUAACCAAUAUCUAAAAAGUUAUAAACAAUUUGAGUGUGACUGUGACCAAUAGGAUGCCUGAAUUGAUGAACUUCAAUACUAUAUUUAAAAAAUACAUUACAAGUGAGUUUUAGUUAUAUCAUAUUUUAAACACUUCUUUAUGUGUAUGUAUAAUUUCAAAGCUGUUAGUUAUAUCAUAUAAUAAAAGUUGAGUUUUAUUAUAUCUAUAUAUUGAUAGCAAAACAAAUGUCAAACCUUAACUAAAUUCAAACUUUUUUUUUACAAAACAAAAAAUUGGGGAAGGGAAAAUGAUUAUUAAUAACGGUGGCACUAAUGGCCAUUUUAUAACUGUCCCAUAUAGGAUUUGAACCUUGUCCCUUGAGGUUACAAUGUCAAACUCUUACCACUAAACUGACACCUCGGGGACAUUCAUUUCAAACUAAAGGACCAUUCAUUUCAUUUGUAUCAUCCCCAACAUACAGAAGUAGAAGACAAAUAAAUUCUGCACAAGCAUGUUUGUUACGACGGAAAGAAAAACUCGAUUAUAAGUUUUGAUUGUAUGAAAGACAAACCCAAUCCUAGAGUAACCUGGAAUAAACAAACGCUUUUCCAAAUAUAUCUUCAUUAUUUAUAAUUAUAGUUAUUGCAUGACCACCCAUAAAAAUUAUAUAGAAUACAAUACAGUUCUAUUCCUAAGUAUCUGUCACAUUGGAAUAAAUUUGUCAUUUCCAUUAAAAGACUUUGCAUUCCCUUUCUGAUUCCACAAAAGUUGACUCCACUUAAACAUGCUCUUAGAAUUAUAAACAAAAAUAAAUGGAGGCAGACAAUUUAAUGCAAAAGGUUUACCAGAUCCUACUUACACGGCACAGGAGUAAGGCAUCAAAGAAGGAAAAAAACAAAACCUAGGCACUAACUCACUAAACUCAAAUAAUAGCAUUCAGAAAAAAUGCACAAGUGUUGAGGUACAAACAUAAAGAACUUUACUUCGCUUACAUCAUUAAUAAAGAAAGGGCUGUGGUCCUUUUAGUUUGACUUGUUUCCUAAUUGGUCCUUUAAUAUUUUUUCCUAUGUUGAUCCUUUAAGCUUCAAAAUGUGUAGGACAUGGUCCUUUUUUGAAUUUCCAUAUAACUCAAUUAAAAAACGUCCAUGUGGCUGUUAGAUGCUGACAUGUCCAUAAUGGUAUAGAGGUGGCGAGCCCAAAUCAGCAAAUUAUAUUUUAAAUUAAUUAAUUUUUAUUGAUAAAAAAUCUCAAAUUAAAAUUUUCAGGAUCCUCAAACCCAGAAAAAAACCCAUUAACUUCAUCCACUUCACCAUGCCUUUGAAAGGAAGAGAGCCCAAUGUUGUUUAGCUACACCGUUAUCGUCAACACCUUGUGUAAGUCCAAAAGGUUUGAUGAGAUUGCUUUUGGUUUGAUUGAGAGAGGGUUGAAGCUUGAUUUUAAGCAUGUGUUGUGCUUGUUGUUGGGUUGUGCAGAUGUGGCAAUGUCUAUUUGGCAUAUAAACUUGUUGUUGGUGUCAUCAAUGGUGGGAGCCUAAGGUUAAUCGUUUGGUUUAUAAUGCUUUGAUUAGAGGGUUUUGUACAAUGGGUAGGAUUGAUAAGGCGUUGGCAAUUGAGGGGUUUAUGAGCAGAAAUGGGUGUGUGUCGAAUUUGAGGCUUGUCAUUCUCUUGGGAUUAUGCAUAAAGGCCUCAAACCUGAGAACUUUUGUUUGACAUUGUUGAAGAAGAUGCUAUUCUCAAAACUACUGAUUCAUUGCUGGGUUUUCUCCAUUUAUAGCAUUAGCAGAGUGUUUUUUCCAUUUGGUUUUAAUUUCCGGGUUUGUAUUUUUUGGUUUGAAGAACCCUAAUUAUUAUUAUUAUAUUUGGUAAUGUACGAAAAAACAAAGGAAAAGACAAUUUAACUUGGAGGUUUUUAUUUUUAUAAAAAACAAUUUUUAAUUAUAAGCUUAUUUGGAAUUGCCACCUCAUCAUCAUUAUGAACACAUCAACAUCUAACAUCCAAGAGGGCGUUUUUCUAACAAAGUUAAACAAAAAUCCAUAAAAAGGACGAAGUUGUGCAUGUUUCAAGACUUAAAGGACCAAUAUGGAAAGAAAAAAACUUAAAUGAUCAAUCCCAAAAAAAGUCAAACUUAAAAGACUGCAUGUGUAUUUUGCCUAAAGAAAGGCAUAUCAUCUUUAAAAAAAUAUAUUGACAAGACUAGCUCAUAUAGCAUUAUGACAAUGAGGACAUGACAAAUUACAUGAAGGUGUUUUGCAUGUUGGAAUGUAGAAGUAAAAAAAAAAAAGGCCAAAUAAGCUGCAAUGGGAAAGAUAACUUACCAAAGUAAACCAAACUGUGAACAUUAUCCUUGCUGUAUCGCUUAAACACAUUGCUUUUAAUCUCAGCAAAAUUAUUUGACACCAGCAAAGCUAACAAUGCGUUGUUGUGAGAAACUAUACAGGUUGAUAAUGUGAUUGCCUGAGCUAAUAAAAUAAAAGAAUGAACAAGUAAGACUGGUUAAGGAAUCACAAGCCUAUAGUUUUUUCUUGUCUUAACAGAAGAAAAUAGUUAUCCAAAACCAAACAACCGUGGAAAAGUCAUCCCAAUGAGAAAGGAUAUUUGAAGCUACCACAGCUAAAGCUUGGUCACAAACAAAUUUCCAAAGCCAGAAUCUCAUAUUUUCUGGAGGGCAACUUGCUAGUCCUUCAGCAGAAUGAAAUGAUGUUUGCAACACAUCCCCAUUAAAACUUUGGCACAAUUUAUCAAAUAUCUGCAAGAACUUCAAAUAUCAGUCACAAGCACACAAUAUAAAUUUCACUAUGGAUAUUGUGAUUUUUGACAUUUAUGGAAUUAACAGAAAGUAGGUAACCAAAAGUAAAAUCUCUGGUUGCUUAGAUUACAAUUUCAGUACUUGUGAACUGAGCUUUCGAACACCAAAAGACUACUGAAUACCGAUAUGGAAAUACAAUCAUAAAUCAUUUAUAUCAACCAUCCAUCCUGCCCCUAUUGUUAAGUUUCCCUUUUGGGUUGUCCCAAAUCUCACCUAAGGCAAUAAAAUUCGGCCUUUUUCUUUUUGCCACUUCAGGUUUCACUACUUUAUAUGAUCAAAUCAAAACUAACAGCGCUACUGCCUUAAAAUGGGUGUGAUGACAAAUAAAAAAGUUGGAGAUACAUAAUGAUUACUAAUAAUUUCAAAUAUAGCCAAUUUUGAUCUCAUCAAAUGUCAGUUUAAUGAUUUACGUAUAUAAUAAAAAAAAUUAUUCUUCCAUAUUCUGAAAAAUUCCCUUACUUUGUCACUCCAACAUCUUGCUUGCACAAACUCAUAAUAACAUAAAUAUAUACGGUGAUUGAAUUUUUCAAUGUGGAGAGCUAAUAGUUCCCCAUAAUCCAGAUUAACAAAUUAAUUUAUGCUCACCUCUAAAACAUUGUACACCACAUACAAUUUUAUUGUUCCUUGACCGCGGAUCAUAUGAUAUAUUAAGCUGAUAUCUGAGGAAGCAAGUUUUAAAGAGGGAAUGGAACAAAUUAGUAUAUCAUGAAACUUGACUAAUACCAAAAGGAUUGAUAUAACAUACAGUAAGGGGAGUAGAGAAUCAUUAUACCUGUUCGCUGCAAAAGAACCACUCCGCAACUCAUAAUAACAAAACAGCCAAAAUCUGACAAUUCCAUUGUAGAGAGCCUCUUGAACUGUCUGUCACAAGCAUGAUUAGGUCAUAUUGAAGCACUAAAAACCAUGAUAGACUAUCACAAAAUUUAAAACAGAACACAAAUUGAACCGAAUAAGGGAAUACAAAUCAAAGCCCAAGAACAUGUAUUCAGAAGAGAUUUGUCAGCUAACAGAGAAUCAUGAACUAACUCGGUCUGUGUAUAAAUUAACAACUAAACCUGUGUCUUAUAGAUUGAACUAACAGCAUAAUUUGGGAUGCCAUGGUUCCAGGAAAACCACUUUGUUUCAUAAUUUAGAGAUUUAAAAUGACAUCUAAAGCAUAGUAAGAUUGUACUCAAUGGACACAGCUUAAAUACAAGUUUAAAUUAAAGAAACUGGUGUUGUAAGAUUAAUCUAUCCCCUAAAUCCUCACAUUAUGCCUAGCUAACAUUUUAUUACAAGGGAAGAAAAAUUAAGUAAAGGAGGCAAACCUUGUCUUAAGAAUCCUCCAAAUGGUCAUCAAGAUCCUCGUUGGCAUAAUAGUUAAUAAUGAAAGAAAUGAAUCGAAGCAGACAAAGAAGCCAACAUCUAUAAGCUGCAAUUGCAUUCCAUGUUUAAGAUACCAAAAUACAAAAUUCAGAAUACAUUGAUAAAAAUAUGCAAAUAUAAUGCAUAAGUGGAAGGUUUAAGUUUUACUUCUUUUCCCCUAAACAUUUUAAAUUAUUUUGAUUAUUGUGGAGGAAAGGCACAGGAAGCUAAACAAAGAGAAGAGGUCCGUUGAUGAUAUAACAAGAAUAGAACCAGAAAUCAUUUUUGCUUAUGUUUCCUUUUAUUUGGGAAAAGGAAUUGUACCCAUUCGCAUCUCCAUGGCAAGCGGAAGAUAGUGUCAUAAACUCUCUCUCGUUCUAUUUCAUUGCCAAGAGUAGUAGUACUCCGUAACGAAUUUCCAUUGUACAUUUCCUCCAAGAAGUAUGCUACAGGAGACUUAUCUACUGUGAACACAUCUGACAUCAAAACACAUCACCACUAGGUUAAUUAAGCCAAAAAAGCAUAUACAGCAUGCAUAAAAUAAAAUGACAAGUAAGAGAGUUGAACAAAAAAUUGCUUUGCAUAAACAAACUAGAGGUCAGAGACCAUAUAUUACUAGUAUUGAUUCCUAAAUAAGCAGCAGGAGCGUAAUAAGAAAACAGGCAAAGGAUUUUAGCCAUGUCAAAACCGCACAUUAUUUUUCACUGCCAUGCAUUAUUCUGUCAGUUAUCAUGCCACCAAGCCUGUGUAAUUUGGUCAUAGCAUAGAUUAAAAAUAAAAAUUGAAGCAGAACAUGCAAUAUAAGAAAAACCUGCAGAUCUAGGUAAGUAGCUAGUUGGAUGCAGGCAUGAACUAGAACAGCAAAAGAAAAGCCAGACUUGCAAACUACAAUUGAAUUUGGAUUUAAUAUGAACUCUACCAUAAUUAAAGUAGCAUAGAAUUAAUGAAUGGCAUUUGGAACAUGAUUAGCAUUAAUGCAAAAUUUUUUGAACCAUUAGAAAUUUAUGAAGCUAAUUCUUGAAAGCUAAGCAAGAAUUGAUUAGUUUAAUUUCCUUCAAAUUGCAAAUAACAGUUUGAUCAAAUAUUGAUUUAUAAGUUCAAUUUUCAUAAUAUGUAUUCAGUGGAGAUAGUUUCUGAUAAAUCGCUACAAAAAAGUACGAAAUGCAAUGUUGCAUGCAGAGCAAGAACUCACAAUUCGGAUCUUCUGCCAUGAUCCGCUUCCACUCCACCGAUUCAACCGUUUCCGAUUUCGUAAGGACGCUCCUUUCAGAUACGUUUAUCGGUUUCUCCACCGGACUCGCUUUAACACUACAAUCUUCCUUCCCAAUCCCAUCGCUACAAUUGUCCUUCUCGAUCCCACCGCUAAAAUUGUCCUUCUCAAUCCCACCGUCAUCGCCAACCACCGAAGCAGCUAAAUCCUCAGUACUUCCACCAUUCACAUUCCUCUGCCUCAAUUCACCGAAAUUAAACCCUUCUACGCCACCACGCACGCUCGUCGGAAACGCAGAACCUCCCUCAGGCGCCGAAGUAACGGCACAGACGCUCGCUUCAGUCGCUUCCUCGCACACGACGCAUCCUCCGGUAGCGCAGUAACUCAUAGCGUGGAGCUCGAAACCGUUACAUGAUCGUCCGUUUGUGAGCGGAGCUUCAGUAAUCCGGUGCGGAUCGUCGGAAUUAGCGACGGAAUCUACGGGAUCGAGAAGCUUCUUUUUCCUCUUGGAUGCUCGGUUUUUGCGCUUCUUGCGAUCGGGUAGAGUUGUUAGAUCGGAUUUGGAACGGUGUAAAAGAGAGACUUCUUCUUCAUCGAGUGGAGUUCGGCGGAGAACCUCGAAGGAGAGUUUUGUGCCGGCGGUUCUCAACGCCAUGGCAAGAUGAGAUUACCAAAUUGGCUAUGAACGUUGAGAAAAGGGUUUUGGUUAUUACAUGUGAUUGGAGAAUUGAGUUAUGGUUGGUUGGGGCAUUUGGUGAUUGAUUUUCGUCUUAUUAGAAGACUGUGUGAGAUGAGGAUAAUCAGAAUUUGCGAGCCCAGCUUUCAUUCGCGCUUUCCCAUAUCCCACUGCUUUUUUUCCCUUACCAGUUAAUGCCACUCACUGUUCUGCAUGUAGUUUUUUUUAUUAGUAUGGUUUUUCACCGUUAAUUAUGUUUAUUUAUAUUUAAUUGAUAAAAAAAUUGCACCAAAAAUUAUUAUCGUUGUUUUAAACUUAUAAUUUACAUGGAAAAGAGGUAAAAAAAAAUAAUCUUGAAUUCAUUUGAGAGUUAAGCAAAAAUUAUGCAAGAUAGCAUACAACUUGAACUCUGUUUGUCAUUAACUAAAUUCAUCCAUCAUUGAAUACUUAUUUUAGACAAAUAAAAAUAUUAUUAUUGAAUAUUUAAAAAUAAUUGACUGUAAUUGAAAAUUACUUUAUACUAUUAGCAUACACAAAUGUCUAAAAAUAUUUUACAUAAUUGUUUAAUAAUAAUAUUAUUUAUUUGAUUAGGUUUAAUAGCAUAUUAUCAUCUCGUUUAAUGAGUUUAUAAACUUAUAAUUUAUCAUAUUCAUUAAAUAAUGUGACAAAUGACAACGGAUCAUUCAAUUGUGUAAAAUAUUUUUAGAUGUAAACUAAAUUUAGCUAAUAAAUAUUUUUUAUUUUCCAUUCAAAAUCAAUAAAUAUUUUCUAUUUAAUAUUUUUAGUUUAGUUUUUAUCAAGUAUUUACUUUAUAUAUCGGAUAAAAUAAUAACUAAAACGAAACAAGUUAAAUGUGAAACAAAAAAUUAACCGUGCAUUAAACUAAUUUAAAGAAAAGGAAAGAAAGGAACUACUAAAUAUUAACAAGUUAAAUUUUGAAUACAUGAUAAUUAAUUAAAAUAAAAAAUAAGUUUGGGUACCAGAUUUUUUUUAAUUAAUAAAUAGAAUUAAAAUUUUAAUUAUUUUUAAAAAAUAAUAAUUUAUUAAUUUAAAUAGAAUGGUGGUUGGUGGCCGCUGCCGGACUAACGUGGUGGCUGAGCGCCGCCUUCGAUCAACAUCUUUAUUAUUUUAUUAUUAAUUAAUUAAUUAAUUAUAUAGUUAAAAGUAACAAUAAAAACUAUUUUUAAAUAAAUUUAAAAGAAAAUUAAAAACAAUAAUUCUUUUGUAACUUUUUAAUAUUUUAAAAACCGAUUUAUAUUUAAAAUAAUAUAAAAAGAGUUUUAUUAAUAUUUAAAAAAUUUAAAUAAUAAAUAAAUUGAUUUUAGAAUAAUAAAAACUAUUUUUUACAAUAAAUAAAAAACCAUAAUUAUUAUUAUUAUUAUUAUUAUUAUUAUUAUUAUAAGUAUAAAAUUUAUUAUAAUAUUGCAAAAAUUAAGUGGAUCGGAUAAAUAUGCAUUCAUUGAAAUAUGAUAAUUAGAUAGAUUUGACGAUUUUAAAUGGUUGAUGUUUUUUAUAUAUAAUUUUUUUCUCUUUACUCAAGUCACACAUCAACACUUAUAUAAGGAGUAGAUCCUCCAUUUCAUCCAUGAUUUUGUUAAUUUAUAUCAAUUUAAUCUCUCAUUUGGUCAUGAUUUUGAAAUAAUCACUUAAUUUUUUUCCCAUUCAUCAAUAUAUUUUUUAGGUCUAUUUGAAUUUAUUUAGUAAUGAAACGUUGUCAUUAUUGUUCAACAAUGUUUGACUAUUUUUAAUAUUUUUAAAUUAAUUAUUUAAAGUUAGAAAAUCCUUCUUUAAUAUAAUACACCAAAUAUAAAAUUCUUCUUCUUCCUCGCACCUUACAAAAAUAUCUAUUGUAUUUUCUCAAACUUAUUGUCUUGUUCAAACGUCAAAAAAUAGAUAAACAUUACAUCAAUUAUAUUCAUGUUCAUAUCAUAAUAACUACAUUCAAAAUCAUUAACAAUAGUGUUUUUUCUUUAUUAGGGUUUUUUCUCAUAAAAACAAAAGACAACUGAAGAAUUUCUUGAUACAUAUUUUAUCAAAUCCUAAAUUAACAGUAGUGUUUUUCUUUUUUUAUAGAUGGAGUAAAUUGAGAGACAUCAUUCAUCAUUUUCGUUAUUUUUUUUGUAAAUAUAGUAUAAUUUAUAGAAAAUAUACAGAAGUAGAAGAAUACAUUAAUGGAGAAAGAAAAUAAAAUUGAGGAAGAAAACUUAUCAAUAAUAUGUUAUAUAAAAAUACAAUUUGUUACAAUUUAGUCUUCAAUAUUAUUUUUUUAUUAAUUAAUAUAUAUGAUAACUUUUCUAAUUUAAAUAAUGUCAAAUAUUAUUCUCAAUAUUAUUGUGUAUUAGUUAGUUCACUAUAUUAACUCAAAGACUCAUAAUGCGAAUAGACUAAUUUAUUAUACUAGAUUAUAAGCUUGUUGGAUUAAAAAUAUGUUUUUGGUAAAUAAGUUUUUCCCAUCGACUUAUAAUUCAUCUGAGAUAUUAUUUCAAGUAACAUUUGAGUUUAUAACUUAUAGUUUUUUAUAUUCCUUUUAUAACCUUAUUAUUUUAUUUAUUUAUUUUAUCUUUAUUAGGCUCCGUUGUUAAAAUGAAGCUAUAAGUUAGUUUAUAUAUAGUUGAUAAUUGAUGACUUAUAGCUCAAAAACUAAUUAAGUAAAAUUAAAGUGUUUGAUAAAUUUAGCUUUUAACAAUAUAAAAUGUAAUAAAAAACAUGAUUAUUUAAUUUAAAAUAAUAAAAAUGUGAAAUUUUUAUUCAAUCUUCUGCCUAUUGGUUUAGUCGAUUUUUUUUUGUACUCAAUCUAUUUUUUUACUUCACUUUAUUUCUUAUGUUAUCUUCUUCUCUAUGUCGUUACACUUUAUUUCUCGUGUUUUCUUAUUCUCCAUGUCGUUAGUUAGUUGAUGUUAUCUUAUAACUUUCACUUUUCUCAUCGACUUUUGUUUCUCCCGAUGUUCGCCCAAUUCACCUGAUAUGUCUCUCAUGUUUUCUCGUUUAUUUAUUUUACCAUAUUUCUCUCAUUUAUGAUUUUUGUGGUAGAAAAUCCAAAAAAAAUAUAACAAAGUUCUAAAUAAAUAAAAAAAUGGAAUUCAUUUUUUGGGGUACAUUAGUUACAUUUUUUUUUAUUACAAUAUAAACUUAAAUUUGAAGAGUUAUCUAAAAGUUUAAGAAACUCCAUGCGUAUAAAUAGUAAUAGUAAAAAACAAUUCAUUUUACAAUUUACAAUUUGACAUAAAAAAGUAAAUUUAACUUUAUGAAUUUUUUGUCAGAUAAAUAAGAUGAAAUAUUUUAUGAGUUAUUUUGGCAAGGAAUUAAAGAAAUUGAGUCAAACUAUAUUCAUGCAUAUCUUUUUCAAUUUUGUGUUAUGUGACAUAGAUUUUUGGCAUUAAUAAGUUAAUUUUUUUGGCAAUGAUUCAAAGAAUUGAUGUGUUAUGUAGAAGUAAUAGUAUCACCCUAAAAAAACAAAAAAACACAAAAAAAAAAAAAAAAUAUAAGUAAUAGCAUCGAGAAAAAGAUACUAAAGAUAGUGGUUGAAGAGUAAGUUAGUGAGACGGUUAUGUUUUAUAUAUAUAAAUUAAUAAAAAUAAAAUAAUGAGGUUAUAAAUAGAAGAAAGUUUAAAAAGUUAUAUACUCAAACAAUACUUGAAAUAAUAUCUUAGAAUAAAUUAUAAGUUUGUGAGAAAAACUUGUUUACCAAACACAUUUAUUUAAUCCAACAAACUUAUAAGUUAACUUAUUGACAUUACCAAAUAGUGUCUUUAUACAAAAUAAGUAUUUCACUCAUUCACCACUCUAUCACCCACUAGCUCACAGCUUCGCGUAUAUCUUAUUCUCGUUGAACAAAGUUAAGUUUCUUUAAUUUCUUGACAAAAUAACUCAAAAAAAGAUAAUGUUAUUCAUUUUACGAGAAAUCGAUUAAGGUAUGUAUGGUCAUAUUUAUUGUUAUUUCUUUAUAUUCUAAUUAAAGUUAAAUUCAUUUUUAUGCCAAAUUAUAAAUAUAAAUGAACUGCAUUGUUUUUACGAUUACUAUUUAUACAUAUAUGAGAAUUAUUAAAUAUUUAGAUAACUUAAAUUUAUGUCUGUAUUGUAAUAAAAAAAAUAAAUAAUAUAACAAAAGAUAAUAAAUAAAUUACAUGGAUAUAGUUUUAAUUUCAAAGUUUUGCUGUAUUUUUUUAUUUCUCAAUAAAAAUAAAAUAAAGUGAAAAAUUGAUUUUAAAAAAGGAAAAUAAAGUAAAACAACGCUCAAGAAAAAUUGAAUACAAAUAUCAUAUUUUUUGUUAUUUUAAAUUAAAUAAUUAUAUAUUUUUAUAUUAUUAAAAAUUAAUUGUAUUAAAUAAUUUAAUUUAGAUUAACUAACCUUUCAACUAUAAAUUAUCAAUUAUUAACUACCAAGUAACUUUUCAACUGUGAACUAAUUUAUAGUCUAGGGAAUGGAGUCAAAGUUGAUUAUUUACUACUUGUUGAUGUGUCAAAAUAACACACCUGGUUGGAUAUAAAGAAUAUAGGUGAGAAGGUGUAAGUAGUGUGAGAAAAUCAAAUGGCAACAGUCUCUUGUAAGAACGACCCCGAAAUUCAAAUUUAUUGGUGUUAAAUUAAGAUCUCUCUUACAAAUUACUACCCGCGUCCCUGAAUCUCUGAUUCCUUUCUAGUAAUAGUACUACUAUACCAUCAUCAAUCUUUCAAACUUUCAUCCAUACCUCCACGGUAUCUACACCAUCGUCGACGACGACACUUACUGGUACGCUUUUAUUUCACACAACGAGCCAAGGUCGUGACGCCGAUCUCUGAUCUAUAUACAAUAUUGUCUGAUUUAUGAUUUUUCAAUUGAAAAAUACAUUAGACUUACAAUUUAAUUUUCAAAAGCAUUAGAGUUACGAGAUCCCAAGAAAUGUGUCUUACAUUAUGUCUAUUCAGAACUCACGCUUAAAUUCUUAAUACUUGAAGCUUGCUUAUCGCUUGAAAAACUCAAUCUCGCUGUACUGUUUACCCGAUGAUUUUAUCCUAGCUAUGUGAAUUGUGCAGAAUAUACAAUUAAAUUAUAUACUACAACAUGGUUUUUCUUGUUCAUUAUUAUAAUGUGUUUUAAAUUGGGAGUUUUGUCUUGUUUACAUGUAAUUUUGGUUUAGAAAGCUCAGUUAUUAUAAGAUAAAAGAAAAUUUAUUUUAAUUUAAUAAAUUACUCAGAAAACAAAAUUUAUGCUGAGACGGGACGUGAAUUGCAAGGUCAAGGUGUCUCAAGCAUUGUUUGGCUAUGAUUUCUUUAUCUUUAAAUUGAACAGCAUAGCUAUGUUUGCUUCACCUUAGUCUUUCGCCGUUGCCCUUCAUCCACUCUUAUUCAAAGCACAUAGUAGGCUCCAAAACUCCCCUAAGUAAUGUCUUGCUCACAGCCGCAGGGGAAGUCCUUAACAGAUUCAGCCCCCCACCCCCCAUAAGAAACCUUAUUCUUAAUUUCACUGAAUGGCCAUGUUUUGUGUUUAUUAGUACCUCUAUGUAUUACAUAUGCUUAUGUUGAUUUGCGCAAAUUGGAAAAAUAUGAGGAAUGGAAAUUGCAUUUGACUAACUCAGAUUGAUGGACUUUGCCACAAGAUGGCUGUUUUGCAGUAAAGGGGGAAAAAUUAUGAAAAGAAAAUGCCAGGAGUCAGAAAAUUCAAAUAGAGGCCAAGUUAGCUACCCCAAAGUUUGUUUAUUCUCUGUAUAUUUUAUUCUUUAUCUAUCUCUGGAUACUUGCUCAGAUGUUGAGAAUGAAAUGAUUGGUUCUUGUUAGUUUUUCUUUAGAUUGUGCUUGGAAAGUACUACUUUGCUGAUGUUAUAUAUGUUGUAUGUGUGGUAGGUACUCAUAGAGAGAGACGCCAUGGUGUCUUCCACUGGGGUUGCUACUGCACAACCUCUUUUUUCUUUUGGAUUGAUUUCUGACGUCCAAUACGCUGACAUUCCCGAUGGUCGCUCAUUCCUUGGUGUUCCACGGUAUUAUCGGCAUAGUAUUCUUGUUCUGCAGAGAGCAGUUAAAGAAUGGAAUACUCAUCAGAAGCAUAAGUUUGUGAUUAAUUUAGGAGAUAUUGUUGAUGGGUUUUGUCCCAAAGAUCAAUCUAUUAAUGCUGUAAAGAAGGUUGUGGAUGAAUUUGAAAUGUUUAGAGGACCUGUGUACCAUAUGAUUGGCAAUCACUGUCUGUACAAUCUUCCUCGAAGCAAGUUACUUCCAUUAUUGAAGAUUCAAACCCUUGAUGGUCAUGCUUACUAUGAUUUCUCACCGGUGCCUGACUAUAGAUUUGUAGUUCUCGAUACCUAUGACAUCAGUGCCAUUGGUUGGCCUCAAGAUCAUCCAAGAGCAUUGGAAGCCAUGCAAUUGCUUAGAGAGAAGAACCCAAAUGAAGAUAAGAACAGUCCAACAAAUUUGGUAGGGGUUGAAAGAAGGUUUCUUAUGUUUAAUGGAGGCGUUGGAAAGGAACAGAUGGAAUGGUUGGAUGGUGUUCUUCAGGAUGCAACCAAAUUGAAACAGAAGGUGGUUGUGUCUAGCCAUCUGCCUCUAGAUCCUUGUGCAGCAACCGAGGAGGCACUAUUGUGGAAUUAUGAUGAAGUGAUGAAUUUGAUACACAAAUACAAUUGUGUUAAGGUCUGUCUUGCUGGACAUGAUCAUAAAGGUGGAUACUCCAUUGAUUCUCAUGGUGUACACCAUAGAGUUCUUGAAGCUGCUCUUGAAUGUCCUCCCGGCACAGAUGCAUUUGGAAGCGUUUAUGUCUAUGAUGACAGAAUAUCACUUGUAGGAAUUGACAGAAUGGCGAGUACAGACAUGUAUUUUAGUCACCAAUAAUUUCAAUUUGUAUGACAUAAAGUGUUGAUGUUUGGAAGACAUUAUUUAAUCAAUAAUUUAUAGAGUACCUAUGAUCUCUAUACAGCAUACUACUCAAAUUUGAACGGCAACAUGCUCCUUCCUUUUGAGAGAGGCAAGAAUGCAACGUGCAGCAUUAUUGGGGUUAGUUACCUAUGUGCUUGGCUAAUUAGUCUUGUAAAACUGUUGCAAUUUGGCUUAAUUGCUUUGCAUAUUUUCACUGAAAACCUUAUAUUGAUCAUGUAACUGUUGUUUACAUAUUCUAGUCACUCAAUCUAAUACAUAUUAGGGGAAUUACAAUCCUUUAAUCUUAUUUGAGAUAAUAAACAUAUUAUGUUGAGGUGCCGAACCACGUAAAUCUUUAUGUGAGUUAUUUUAUUAGAUCAAUAGUUUUUUGAGGUUUCAUGGCCUCAAUAAAUAUAUAGCACCAUAAGUGAAUUAAUAGCAUAUUUUCCACAAAAUUUCAUUGUUGAAAAACCAAACAUAAAUGUGAAGAGUGUUGUCAAGAGCGACAACGAUGAUGAUAGAGGUCGAAGGUGUUUGAUUGCAUAUACAGUGAUGGUAAUUGUUGAAUAAGAGAAAAUGAGAGAGACAUAUGGUGAAACCGUGUGUCUGAACUACACAACGGAGUCUGUUUUAUAUAGGCUCAAGGCAAUAAAUACAAAAAUAAAUAUGGGAGAUAUUAUCCCUACUUACAUGAUAUGUAAUAAAUAUAAAUAUAUUUUCAACACUCCCCCUCAAGCUGGAGCAUAUAAAUCAUAUGCACCAAGCUUGUUACAUAUAUAACUGAUUCGAGGACCUCUCAGAGACUUAGUGAAUACAUCUGCCAAUUGAUCAUUGGAAUUAACAAAACUAGUGGUGAUGUCGCCUGAUUCGAUCUUCUCCCUUACAAAGUGACAAUCUAUCUCAAUAUGCUUGGUCCUCUCAUGAAAAACUGGAUUAGAGGCAAUGUGCAAUGCUGCUUGAUUAUCACAUAUUAAUGUCAUUUGUGUUGCCUCUUCAAAUUGAAGCUCUUUGAGUAACUGUUUCAACCAAAUGAGCUCACAAGUCACUAAUGCCAUAGCCCUGUAUUCAGCUUCAGCGCUAGAUCUUGCAACUACACUUUGUUUCUUACUCUUCCAAGAUAUUAAGUUUCCUCCAACAAGUACACAAUACCCAGAAGUGGAUCGCCUAUCAAUGGGUGAGCCUGCCCAAUCGGCAUCUGAAUAACCAACUAUCUGAGUAUGUCCUCUGUUUUCAUAAAUUAGACCUUUUCCUGGAGCACCUUUAAUGUAUUUCAAGAUUCGUAUCACAAUAUCCCAGUGUUCUUGACAAGGAGAAUUUAAGAAUUGACUUACCACACUGACUGCAAAAGAAAUGUCUGGACGGGUGACUGUGAGGUAGUUUAAUUUACCAACCAAUCUUCUGUAUCUCCCUGAAUCUAAAAAUGGCUCCCCAUGAUUAGGUAGAAGUUUGACGUUUGGAUCCAUAGGAGUGUCAACCGGUUUGGCAUUCAACAAACCUGUCUCUUCAAGAAUAUCCAUAGCAUAUUUUCUUUGUGAAAUUACUAAGCCGUCCUUAGAUUGGGCUACCUCAAUACCCAAGAAGUAGCGGAGCUUGCCAAGAUCUUUAGUUUGAAACUGAUGAGAUAAAUGUUGUUUCAAUUGGAGUAUGCCCUGUUGAUCACUACCAGUUAUGACAAUAUCAUCUACAUAGACAAUCAAGUAAAUGCACCCUUGGGUUGAGUGACGAUAAAAAAGAGAAUGAUCAGCUUCACUUCGAAUCAUGCCAAAUUGUUGCACUACUGUGCUAAAUCUACCAAACCAAGCUCGAGGAGACUGUUUAAGACCAUAGAGAGACCUCUGAAGUCGACAAACCAUGGUAGAGGACUCCCCCUGAGCAACAAACCCAGGUGGUUGCUCCAUAUACACUUCUUCUUCAAGGUCACCAUGCAAAAAAGCAUUUUUAAUGUCAAGUUGAUGUAGAGACCAAUGUCUGAUGGCUGCAAUAGAGAGGAGUAGUCUAACAGAGGCCAUCUUAGCCACAGGGGAGAAAGUAUCACUGUAAUCGAGGCCAAAAACUUGAGUGUACCCUUUUGCUACCAAACGAGCUUUAAAACGAUCAAUCUUACCAUCAGGACCAACUUUCACCGUAUAAAGCCAACGACAUCCUACUAAAGACUUUCCCGACGGUAAAGGAACCAAUUCCCAUGUACCACUACUCUGAAGUGCACACAUCUCGUCAAUCAUUGCUUGUCUCCACUCUGGGUGAGAUAAAGCUUCACCUGGAGAUUUAGGAAUAGAAACAGAAGACAGGGAAGACAAACAAGUAUAAUGCAAAGGAGAAAGACGAUGGUAACUCAAGCCAAUGUAAUGAGGGGAUGGGUUACGAGUAGGACGUAUACCUUUACGAAUAGCAAUAGGAAUAUCAAGGGUCGGAUCCGAUAAAGAAGGAGGUGGCGGUGAAGGAGCGUCUGGAGUGACCUCGGUAUCAAGAACAGGUGUAGGGACAUGUACAACCGAUGGUGGUUGACGACGACGAUAUGUCUGAAGAGGUUGUACAGUUGGAGGAUCAACAAGAGGAGUCUCAAGUGGGACAGUGGGAGGGGCCACAGGAGGUGUCUCAGGUGGGGCAUACGUAAUAGGCUCUAAUGGUAAAAGAGAAGGUGAAAUAGACUUUGGUAGGUCCAGAGGAAUAGUUGCAGACAAAGGAUCAGGAAGCGACUCAUAGUAUGUAACAGACUCAAAAAAUGUGACAUCAGCCGAUAUGAGAUAUCGUCGAAGAGUAGGAGAAUAACAACGAUAACCUUUUUGGGACCGAUGAUAACCCAGAAAGACACAUUUUAAUGAUCGAGCUGAAAGUUUGUCAAGACCAGGAGUGAGAUUGUGGACAAAACAUGUAGAUCCGAAGACCCGAGGAGGAAGUGAGUGAAGAGGGGUACCAGGAAAGAGGAUCGAGUGAGGGACUUUGUUAUCAAGAGCAGACGAAGGCAUGCGAUUUAUAAGAUAGCACGCCGUUAGAACAGCAUCGCCCCAAAAGCGAGAUGGUACAUUACCAUGAAGAAGGAGAGUACGAGUGGUUUCAAUAAGGUGCCGAUUUUUGCGUUCGGCUACCCCAUUUUGUUGAGGUGUAUGAGCACAAGAUGUUUGAUGAAGAAUGCCGUUAGAGGUCAUAAAAUUUUGAAAUUGAUGGGACAAAUAUUCACGGGCAUUAUCACUGCGCAAAGUGCGAAUGGAUACACCAAAUUGAGUUUUAAUUUCCUUAUAAAAUUGUUCAAAAAUAGAAAAUAAUUCAGACCUAUUUUUCAUUAAAAAUAACCACGUACAACGGGAAAAAUCAUCGAUAAAGGUAACAAAAUAUCUAGACUCAAGUGUGGAAAUAGUACGAGAGGGACCCCAAACAUCUGAGUGAACUAAAGCAAAUGGGGAGGAAGCUCGUUUAUUAGCUCGAUCAGUGAAAUGACUACGAGUGUGUUUCCCUAAUUGACACGACUCACAAUUUAAGCUAGAUAUUUUGGUUAGAUUAGGUACUAAUUGUUGAAGUUUGGGAAGACUCGGAUGACCUAACUGAGCAUGUAUAGUAAGAGGAGAAUAUGUGGUAGGGCACGCUGUUGAUGGGUUUGAGAGAUAAUAAAGACCAUUAGACUCACAUCCGACACCAAUUUGUCGUCCUGAUAUUCGGUCUUGCAAAGUAACAUUGCAAUUAGUAAAUGUGACAACACAGUCAUGAGAACGAGUCAAUCGACUGAUAGAAAUUAAAUUAAAUGGGCAUCCAGGCACAUAAAGGACAGAUUUAACUAACAGAGUAGGGAGGAUUUGGACAGUGCCAAUCCCUUGAGACUGUGUUUGGGAACCAUUGGCUGAGACUAUCCUAGGUAAAUAACCAGAUGUUGUGAGAGAGGAGAAAAGAGUCUUAUUACCAGUAAUGUGAUCAGAUGCACCAGAAUCGAGAAUCCAUGGGCUAUGAGAAGGUGAGAUGCAAACAGGUGAAUUACCACUUUGUGCGGCGGAAACAGCGGAACUCGAGUUCUGACAAUACUCUCUCCACCGAAGAAAAUCUUUAUAAGUAGCCAUAAUCAAUAAGUAGUUACCUAAAAACCAGCAGCGAAACAAUGGCGGAAUAUGGUUUUUUUUUUCGAUGAACAGUACCGCGCGAUGAACAGUGUCGCUCAAUGAACAGUGUCGCGCGAUGAACAGUGAACAGUGGAGAAAAAAAUGAACGAAAAAGCGACAAAGAAGGGUAAACCGGAAUUGAGACACGGUUUACCGAAAAAAAAUCUCACCGAAGGACAGUGGGUCCCGGGGUAAUCACGGUAUAGGGUUGUCUCUCUUAAUAGGCUCUAGAUACCAUGUUGAAUAAGAGAAAAUGAGAGAGACAUAUGGUGAAACCGUGUGUCUGAACUACACAACGGAGUCUGUUUUAUAUAGGCUCAAGGCAAUAAAUACAAAAAUAAAUAUGGGAGAUAUUAUCCCUACUUACAUGAUAUGUAAUAAAUAUAAAUAUAUUUUCAACAGUAAUGAUAGAGUGCAACCAUUUCUAAUAAUACUGGAUAAUUCUCUUAAUCAUACCAUGUUAUCUAUUUGGGGAAGACAAUCUUUAUAGUUUUUUUUUCUCGAUUUGAUUGUUGUUUUCAAUUAUCAGAUCAUCACUUAACUACCAAUCUACCAUCAACGUUGACAGUAACAAAAAGACCGCAUUGGUAUAAUAUUUGAAAUUGUAAUUUGUAAUAUGAGAAAUCAUUUGGUGACAAAUAAUACAUGAGAGAUCAGACUAUAACCCAAAAUAAAGAUAAGAACCAAAAUUAUAACUAACCUAUAAAAUAUUUCUUUAUCACACUCAUGCUUAGCACAAGUAUUUCAACUAGAAAAUUUAUAUUUUUACUCAUGUUUAGCGCAUGUACAUCAACUAGUAAAUUUAUAAUACUAUUAUGACAUAAAAAGAAUUAAACUCAAUGAAAGUGUGCAGCAAACAAUAUUUUACCAGAUCAUAACAGUAGUAUAUUCAUAAACUAAUUAACUAAAAGAGAACGAUGGGAAUAAAAGACUUUUGUAUUUUUGCUUUGGUGUUCCUGAUGUCUAUAUCAUUACUGGUCACCACCAAACACUAGUCCUCACUUUCCGGGACACCAACUCUCAUUCACAUGCAUGAGUCUUUAUGUGGCCAAAUACAGACAUUCAGUUCAGUAAUCUAAUGUUUAUAUAUAAUUUCUGUUAUAUAGUCAUAUGUAUACACUAUUGUAUUAUAAAAUAUAAUUAGAUAACGUACACAUACACCUCUGGUUGAUAUAAUAUAACUCAGUUUUCAAGACUAGAUCAAGAAAAAGUAAAAGAGUAGUAUUUUCCAACGGAGUAGAUGACAGAUGUAGAUAGAUAUGGACACAGAUGCCUCUGGACAGAGAAUUAUUGUUGGGCACGUGCUUUGUGACAAUCUCUUCCCUCCAUUAUGUACAUUUGUUUCUACAACCCCAGCUUUUUUGGCCCCACAAGCCUUUAUCAGUUACUUAAACACAUAACUGUGUGGUUGGAUUGAAAGUGACUGCAGAAUCACAUUGUGAUAUUAUAAUUUUAGCAAAAACUAUACUUCAAAGCUUUAACAAAUUCAUACUGUCAAAUGUCAAUUAUCAUAAGUUUACUAAAUUCACUGUUAUCUAAUCGUGCAUAAAAGUAUAUAUUUUUUUAAUUAUAUGGUUAUCAAAACAACACCUUUAGGCUGAGACAUAUCAUGAAUGAUACAUACUUUUCAUUCAACCUUCCAAGCAUAUAAAAACAAGCAAAACUCUGAUGAUGACUCACUGACACAAUGACCCUCCACUGACUCAGAAGUACUACUACUCUUUGUCUGAGUUGAUAAGGGAGUGGAUGAAGAUGAGGAUGAUAAAGGUGGUGAAAAUAUAGACAGUGGUGACAUAGAAUUAGAUGAAAAAACAGGCUUAAAAAUGAACAAAGCGUGCUUUAAACCAGGACUAAAAAGCCAAUCAUGAACAUCCCAAUAUACCUCAACUCUCAUUUUGUUAAGAUGAAUUGACUCAUUGCCUCUAAAUUUCCAUUGCAAAUGCUUCACAUGAAUCGCCAAGUGCCCAUCAAAUCUUAUCUCCAUCUCUGGUUGAACUUGAACUUGUACCCCACUCGUUACAGAAUCUCCAUCUCCAACAUUAUUAUUAUUUACCUUAUUCUUGCACUUUAUAGAAAUCUCAUGACACCUACCUUUCUCAUGAAACUUAGCUUUAGUAGAGAACUUCCUCUUCCCAAAUAUAUGUUCCUUUUUCGAAACAAGAAUCGGAUCAAUAAGUGAUGGUCUACAACCAGUUCUUUUGUAUGCUUCUUUCUUUAGAUCGCCAAGAAGCAACACAACCUCUUGAUCACAAACAACUGCUACAUAGUACUCUGAAGUUGGUUCUGUUUCACCAUUGAAUUUAGCAGCUUUGAGGUCCCAAAAAACAUCGACAGGUUUUCCAUCAACCGCGAACCGCUUUGAACCUUGUUUCCUCCAAAAGUACCAUGGUUUCAGCUCAACUUUGCAGCUAUAUUGAGUUGUUUCCCUUUCUGGUGUUUCCACUGAUACUGAUAGACCAUGAAGCAACAAGUUUUUGCACCAUGCGAUUGUGAUCAAACGGCAGUGAUCAGCUAGUUUUGUUCUGUAUACUGACAUGUAAACACUUCUACCUGAACGUGUCACAGCUCCAUGAUGAUGAUCAUCAUCACUUGCAGAAGAAAAACAUGCAGGAAUACCAAUUGAGUCUUGCAUUGUUCUUGACGAGUUUAAAAAAAAGUGAGAGAAGAUGAAAGUAAUGUGAAGAGAUUGGAGUGAGAAGGAAUUUAAGAUAAGUGAGGAGAUGAGAGAGAUCUCAGUGACAAGCUGUAUGAAAGCUAUGCCAGAUGUGUUAUUGGCAGCAUUAUUAAUGAGAUUUGAAAAAAGAAAUAAAAAAAAAUGUGUAUUUAUAUAUCCAAACUGGCGUAUGGACUGGCAAUGACUGAGAGUUACAGAAGAACAACUUUUUUUUUUAUAAUUUUUUUAUAUUAUAUACACCUGUCUAUAAUCUCUUACCUGUCACCUCUUUUAAUUUAAUGUUUAUUUUAUUUUGGUUUAAUUUAACAUUUAAUUGUGAAGUUGAAACUAGAAAAACUUGUUUUUGAAUGCCAAGGUGGUUUUGAUUUGCUAUUCAAAAGUGCAUACUUCCAGGUAUAGGUAGAUGCAAGAAGGCGAUUUUUCAUCAGAUUUGGUGUAUGGAUGUUUACACACUAAGGAUAGGAGAAUCUUAAUUAUUCAUGACAGUGCAUGAAAGGGGACUAUAAUAUGAUCCAGAAUAACAUGUCAAAACUAAAAGGGAAAAGAAUUUUGAUUAAACCUUUUAUCGUUAAACUAUUAUUCUCACUCCUAUUUAAUUCUGAACCAUAGAAAUGCAAUAUCUUUAAACUAUUUUUAAUUCGGCAAAUUAAUCUUUAAAUUAUUACACCAUCUUUUAUUCGGAAAGUGACUCAUGGAAUUACUUGAUGGAUUGAGAAUAGUUUAAGGUCUAUUUACAAUUUUUUUUUUAUAGUUUAAAGACUAAAUUGAAGAUUUAGUCAAUAAUUUUAUCACUUUUUUAAUGAAAUUUCUCAAUCUCAGCGUUUUAGUGAAUUUUAUGUACGUUGUGUACACAUAUUUAAUUUAUUUUAAUGCAUUGUUUAAUAAACACUCUAUAUCUUUAUCCUAUCACUUCAAAAAAGUUUACUAAAAAAAAGAGUUCUCGUAGAAUUUUUUAUUAUUAGAAAAUAUGAUAAAUUUUAUUAUAAUUAAUUCAUACAAUUACGAGAUUUUGAAUUUGACUUAACAAAAUCGAUAUUUGUCAGUUAAGCUACAAUAUAAGAAAUAAUAUUGUAGAAUUUAUUAAUCUAGUGCAUUUCAACAAUAAUUUAUUUAUUUUUAAUAUUAAAAUGAGUUAGUAAUUAAAGAGAUAGUAAAAAAAGUACACGUGAGAGGCACAAAUGAUAGGAGAGAUAGUGACUAUAAAGACACUCAUUUGUAUAAACAUCCAUUUUUGCUCCACAAUGAGAAUGUCUAUAUAGAUGAUAUAUAUAUAUAUAUAUAUAUUUUUUUUUUUUUGAAGAAGCAUGUAGAUGAUGUUUACAAGGGAAGGACUCCCAUUUUGCUGAUUAAAUUUAUGAGUUUAAUAAUUAUAUAUCGACAAUAAUAAAAAUGUUAUUAACAAUCAAGUUAUAUUGCAUAACAAUGAUAAGUUAUAGUAAUAUCUAUGUGUUUAGAAGCUGCACAUGUUGUAUGGUAUAACUAUUAGGCACAUUAAACAUCCAACUCCUUUUUGCUAUCUUGAUGCCUAUAAACCUACUACAGUUUCUAAGCUUUUAUCCAAUAUAUAAGAUUUUAUUACUUCAAAAUGAGAAAUUAAAGGAAUCUAUCCACAUCGUUACAGUUGCAGAUCUGAUGUAUAUUAGCUUAAAGACAAAGAGUCCUUGUUUUAGAUCAGCAACCCUCAAAUUAAGAAGAAAAUAAAAUUUAUUUGAAUUGGAUCAUUGCCCUUGCUUAUUCAAUAUAACAUCCAAAAAAUCCAGAACACUCCACGUGCAAUUGGAUAAUUUCCAACUGUUACAUACUAAUUAGUAAGUACACGAGAAAAUUAUUGUAUGUUCAUAAAGACUUAGACACGUCAUUUAGACACAUAAAGAAAAAAAUUAAAUAAAAUAUAUUUUAAAAUAAUUAAAUAAUGUGUUUUUUUUUUCUUGUGUUCAAAUUACUUUUGUUUAGAAGUGUCACCAUCUAAAUAUUUUUCCUCACUUACACCCACCAAAUAAGUAAAAAAAAGAAAUUAAACAUAAUAACACUUUAAGUAAGUAAUGAGGUAUGUGUAAUGGGCAUAAUUACAUCAUUUGAUGAUACUGCACUGUGUGUGAAUUUUGUUUCGGUUAAGACAUGAAUCAAUCAUCUUGGUCAUUUUUUUUAAUAGGUCUAUCGUGGAAAUUCACAUAAAAUAAAUGUGAAAAAGAUGGAUAUUUUAGAUUUAACGUGGUAAAAUGAAAGGAUUAGAUGGUUUUAGAUGAUAAUAAACGAAUCAACAUAAUUCAUGAAUCAAUUUAAAUUUCACUAAAUUUUUUUCUUAAAAUGAAAUUCAAUUCAUGCAUUAAUAAUAAUACAAUUCAAUUCAUCCAUUGUCCUAGUUUUAAUGGAUAUAUAUACAUCCGAUCUAUCUAAUUACUUUCUUUUGAGCCUUUCAAUACAUUAAUUACCAUAUUUGUUAUUAUUGUAUUAUUUAUUAUUUUUAAAACUAUAUUUUCCUUUGAUAGAAAAAUUCUGUUAUUUUUCUUAAGAAAUCAGGUUUCAUAUUAUUUUAAAAAUUAUUAACUUCUCUUCUGACAAAAAUUAUUAACUUCCAAAAAUAAUAUUAUUAUUUUCUGAAAACUGUAUUUUUUAUAAAAUAAAAAUAUGGUUUUUUAUUAAUUUAAAAUCUUUUUAUAUUAUUUAAAAAAAAAUGUUUUCCUACUAUUUUGAAAAUAAUUUUAUUUAUUAUUUUAAAAAAAACAUUUUUUACAAUAAAAAACAGAAGUUUUUUUUAAAGUGUUUUAAAUAUCUAUGCUAUUUUUAAAAUAAAUGUAUUCAUUUAAAUAUUUAUUUAUUAUUAAUUAAAUAAUAAGAAGAGUGGUUGGUGGUGGCCGGCAACAGAAGUCUAACCGCCACCGCGACAAAAUCCACGGCCCUAGACAUUCUCCAACCAACCUCCCUAUUGUUUAAUUAAUAGUAAAUAUUAUUUAACAUUUAAAUUUUAAAUUUAAAACAAAUUACUUAUUUUUAAAUCAAAUACAAAAGCUGUUUUUAAAAAUACUAAAAUAGCUCAAGUUUUAUACCAAAAAAAAAAAAAUCAGUAAUAACAAUAAUAGUAAAUCCAGUUUUUUUAAAUUAUAAAUAAAAUUAUUUUAGUAAAUUACUUAAUUUUUAAGAUAAAAAAUCUGUUUCUUUUAAAAAAAUAAAAAUAAAAAGUGUUUUUUUAAUUUAUAAAAAAGUCCAUUUUCUUUUAAAAAAAUAGUUUUUAAUUGAAAAAAUAUUUCUUAAAAAUUAGAAAAAUAUUUUUCCAAAGUAUCUAUUUUAUGAUAAACAAAUAUAAUUCAUUGGAUUUAAUUCAAAAAUAUAUGUAACCAUUGAAUUUGUAAACAUGGUUGGAUUGGAUAUAUCAUUAAAUAGCUGGAUUGAAUCCAAUCCAUUAACUAAUAUUUUAUUUUGUGGAUAAAUUGAAUGGGUGAUAGUUUAAAUGAACAAGUUUGUCACCCUUAAAUUUUAACUCACACUUCAAUACAUUAAAUUAAAUGUUUUUACAAAUACCAUCUUAACUAGUAUAGUUAAACAUGUAUCUUGCACCAGGUAAAAAAUUUAUUAUUUGAAUACAAAUAAUAAUUUUUAAUAAUGUUAUAAUUACAAAUAAAUUAUAAAUAUAGAGAGAAAGAUUUUUUGAAUUUUAAUAAUUUUAAUAGUAAGAGCUUAAUAUUGUAACAUUAAAGAACAUAGUUAAAAUUUAAAGCGAGAUCAUGAUAAAAUAUUCAAUACUAUCACCGUUAAUAAUAAAUUUUUCCCAUUAUUUAAAAAUAAUUUUUAAUAUAAUGAUAUAAUAAAACUAUAUUUAUGUACACACGUAUCAUGAUAAAUAAUAAUUUUUCAAUAAAUCAAAGAAAAUUUGGAUCAUAAAUGAUAAGUAAAAAAAUAUAUAAGAAAAAUUGAAAAACUGUAUUUCGCGUCCGCUGAAAGACGACGCAAAAGGAUUCAAAACCGACGCUAAUGUUGAUUUAGGGUUGAUGUAGAGUCUAGUUACACCGUCGGUCCAACUCACUCUAAACCGACGUCAUUGUAAAAUAGAACGUCCGACGCCACUUUAUCCACGUUAGAUAUGUCAUUUGAAAAAAUCUACUGCGCCAGUGCUUGUCGUUGCUAUAGUCAGUCAAUGCAACAUCUAGCGUCGAUAUAACCGACGCCGCAAACAACUAAUAAAAAUUAACAAAAAAUUAAAGUGAAAUCUAUAUAAGAUAUAACAUCCGUUAGAUCGACGAUAUGGUCUAACAUAUGAAAAAUCAACUAAACUUGUAGCGUUAGUGAUUGCUUAAAUUCUUUCUUCUUUUUUUGCACUUGCACAAUUAUAUUUUUAUGUCUAAUAAAAUAAUGGAUUCUUAAAAAAUAUUAAAAUAGUUAAUGUUUUCACAAAAAGUCACUGCAUUGACAGCAUAACAAGUGCACUACAAAAUAUAAUUUAUUUUGAAACUACAAAAUAAUAACAUAGUAUGAAAUAACAAAAUUACAAAAUACAUAUUUGUCGAUAAAUAAAUACAAAAACUAAACAUAACUAUAAGAUAAAAGUGCAUUCAGUAACUGAUUGUUCAAAUCAUCAUCAUAAUAAGAAUUUAAAGAAGAAUGACUUGUAGUAGAUGAUACAUAUGCUAAUCGAUGCUGCAAAGUGCAUAUCUAUAAUUGUUGGAGGUCUGAAGUAAAUAACAAAUAUUUUGGUGAGGCACUUAAAGCAAGAGCUUUAGUGCCUUUCUCUUGAAUCAACUCUCAUGUUAAGUUGAACAUGGAGUCUUUAAAACAUAAAUAAAAUUUUAUUUGAACUAUCUUUCAAAACUUUAUUGUUUGCCCUACCUUGUCUACUCUCGUGUUGGUGUCUUUGUCUAUUCUUCAUCACAUCCCCAUUAGUUACUUGUCUUUGUGUUCUUUAGUCUAGGGUUUUAAUAUGUCGUAAUAAAUAAAAAUGCAAGGUAGUCUUGUCAAUUCUGCUCGACAAUCACGUUUGUAUUCUUAUCUUAACAUAAUAUUUUAACUUAGUAUAGCAUGUCAUAAUAUGACUCAUUGGAACUAACAAAUAAUAAAUAAGAUUCAAAAAAUGCACAUGUACACCUAACAAAAUUUAUUAAGAUACAUGGCAUUAAAUUGUAUAGCACGUAUCUUAUCAAGGUGAACAAUCAAUUUCAGUUUAAUAUUUAUUAGACCACUUUACAACUUAUUUGAGUUUCGCAAUAAUUAAUGUCAUUAUUUAGCAUGUACCUUGAUCAAAGUGAACAUUCAAUCACUUUCUAUCAUUAAUGGAACAAUGUCUUAUUUAGGAACCAAAUAUAUUAAUGCAUCCAGAACCAAUUACCACUAUAUUGUCGGGUACUCUUCUCAAUACAAAGGUGCAUGCAUAAAUAUUGUUUCGUAUACAGAAAAUGUCGAAUCUCUAUAAAACUCACUUUUUGUUACCUCAUGUGGUAUAAUAUAUUCCUUUUGAAUAAUAAUGUCUACUAUGUAUGUAGCCAUCGAAUCAACCAAUCAUUUUUUGACAAAUAGGAGAAGAUAAGGCUAAAAUGAAAAUUUGCAAGGAAGUGGAAGAAGAUAGGGAGAUGUUGCAAAACAAGUACUUAAAGAUAAGUAUAAUCAGAUGGUAUAGUUGAUUGCAUAUCUUUUGGUGCUUGCAAUCUAAGUAUUAUCUAUGGAUAUUUGUGAAAGUGAUGUAUGGUGUUCGAUUUAUUUUUGGAUGCCUUGGAUAUUGAUUUAUAUUAAAUUUGAAGAAAAAAGUAAUUUUUGUGUAUGGAUAGAUUUAUCUAGAAACAGGUCUUACCAUCUAGUAGUAUACUAGUGUUGGUGCGAUAUGUACACAUAUAUUUUAUUUAUACACAGUUAUAAUUUUAAUGACUUUACAAAUAACUUAGUUAUUUACAAUAUAUAAAUAUGAUAAGAAUAAAAAAUUAAUAAUUUAAAUUUGAAUUUAAUUGAUAUAUUGUCGAUGUAAAAAAGUUAUACAUAUAGAUCUUAAUACUUUCAUUUUUAAAAUAAAUUUCCAAUUAUUUAUGUGGUUGAGUGUGAUUAAAAAAAUUUAAUUUAUUAUAAAUUGAUAUAAAAGUUGGUAGAAAUACUAUAUACACAUGCAAUAUGUUAUAAAAAAUUAAUAAAUUACUCUUAUAUUUAUGUUGUAAUUGUUUUUUUUUUUAAGGAAGUGUUGCAUGUAAUGUUGUCACCAUCAAAUUUAUAUACUCUUAUAUUUUUUAAGGAGGCAUUUUAACUUUAAAAUAACUUUUUUACAAAACGAUAAAAAUGAAUAGGAUAGAUAGUUAUAAUACAUUCAUAUAUAAUCAAUGAUAUACACAGUAUCUUUACCUAAAAAAAAUUUAUUAAUAAAUCUUAAGUUUUUUUGGAAGAAUUAUAUUCAAAAUCAUAAUUUUGAAAAUGGUUACCUUGAAAAUUCAAAUAAAAUGCAACAUUUUAUCGUUUUAAUCAAUGCUAUUCAUUCAGUUGUACCCGAUAUCAAGGAUUUGAAAUUUUGAAGAGGUUAUUUCACAUUCAGUAAAUGGAAAGAAAAAAAAAGGCCAUUGGCUUUGGAGAUAUCAUUGGACUUGUGAUAGAUAAAGUUUUAGUUGACGUUGUGCUUAGACAACACAAAGAUUUGAGAAUACAAUAUGUACUUUGUAAAGUUGGCUAUUUUUCUUUAGAUAUUUCAGAUAGCAAGAAGAAUAUACUCGAAAUUGUGAAGAACAACAAAUAAAUCAAUAUCAAAUACAAGCAUGAAGACACACGAAAAUAUACCCAAAACAAAACAUAUUUGUUAGGAUAGGACUUUUUCAUAAUUUGACAUUGAAGGAAGAUAUACACAAAAGAAGAAAACAUUGAAGUGUCACCUAUUAAGUCACGAACACUCAUGUGAUUGCCACAUUCAAUCAAUAUUUACUACAAUCGAUUCAACAAAUUCAAAAAGUGUCAACCAGAGGCAACAAUAAUUGUUAGAAACCAACUCAUGUUUCGAUCAAUUGGCAAUGCAUAUACGAAAGAAGAAACAGGAAAAAAGAUAAAUAUAUAAACAAUAUAAUAUACUUUUAGUGUAUAUAAGAAAGAAGAAACAAGAAAAAAAGAUAAAUAUAUAAACAAUAUAAUAUAUUUUUAGUGUUCUUUCCAUGAGGGUUGGUCAUUAAGAUAUAUCUGUUGACACAAAAUUUCUCUCAAAUAUUUUAAUAACAACAAAAUUGUUUCAAAGAUUCUGAUUAUAUGUAUUAUCUAACUUGUAUUCUUGAUUUUAACAAAUUUAGAAAAUAGGUUAUUCACAUUCUUUAUCAAAUAAAAUAUUUAACACAUAUUAAUGUGUCUUCUACGUUAGAAGAUAAGCAAAAAAAAUAAUGAAAUUAUGUCCUCUAUAUCACAGGAUAAAAUAAAACUGAAGAGAUGAUGAAUUUAUGUUCUUUAUGUAAGAGGAUAAACAACGCAGAAUAGAUGAUGAACUUUUGUUGUCUAUUCAUCUCACACGUGGGAAAAUGAGUAAAAGAAUCAAAGUACAAAAAGUGAUAUCCUUAACUCCUAAGGCAAGAUACUACAACUGUUGGAAAAUAAAAAAGUCAAAAAGCACAAGUCACAUUAGAAUUAAUGAAAGCUUAAUCCUCCUACCUGAUGAUGGACUAAACACUCAUCCUCCUACCAUUUCUUCUAACAAGUACAACUGAAGGGCAUAUUUGCAAUUCCAAAUAAAGACCAUGGACAAUCAUCUAAGUCUCCAACUGAUACUUUGUGCUUCUCGUCAUAUUUGAAGCACCAUUAUUUCUAUAAAUUGAGAUGAUCUCAUCCUCUUAAAACACAACAAAUAUCAUAAAAUCCAAAGAUUAAAGUUGUGUAAAUCAAUCUCAUCAUCAACAUACUUUCUACUAAUCUUAAUUAUAUCUUUGAUAUUAACUUGCUGCAAUCUCAAACAUCAUGUAUAUCCUUAAGUUAAUAUUAACUGACUGAUAGUUGUGUAAGUGUUAUAAAACAAGAAGAGAAAUUGUAUAUGUAAGUCUGAUGAGAUUAAGAAAAUACAUAGUGAAAAUCCUUUCAAGAGGACAUGUUUUUUUGAGCCAUAGUGAAAAGCUCACAAGUAAGUGAGGACUGAACGUAAUCCAUUUUGGGUGAAGCAAUAUAAAUUUGUGUUUAUCAUUCUCUGUACUCUUUUAUCUUUAUUUUAUCUAACUUUGAUUUCAGUUCUAAGCUUUCAUCCUCUAUCACUCAUUUAUUAUCCUCACAUAGAGGAUACUUUUUUAAAAUAAAAAGAAAAUUAAGAAAAAUACAAUAUCUCUAUUCAACAUCCUUCUAGUGAUAUUUUAGCUACUUCACUCUCAAUGCAACAAUCGUACUCCCACAAUAGAAUUACAAACUUAUAUAAAAGCAUAAAUCAAGUCACCAAAUAAAAAACGUAAUUAAAAAAAGAAGAUAAGAAACCAACCAAAUUAGGAUCGAUAACAAAAGAAAAAUGAGAUAAAGCAUAAAUAAAAAUCCCUUCAUAAAAUACAUAAAUUAAAACAUUAAACAAAAGGUCACACUAAUGACACAUGUUAAUGAUACCUAAAGUAAAAAAAUUUCAUAAAAAAUUAAUGUUUAGACUUUCAAAAACUAAAAUGCACAAACUCUAAGAUAAAAUUUCUACAUUUAAUUUAUUAAAAAAAGAAAAAUAGAUGAAAAGUUAUAAAAAAUAAUAAAUUAUCCGAAAUAGAUGAAAAUGUCUGAAUUUCUACUAUCUUUUAUGCACAAUAGAUGAAAAGUUACCGGAAAUCUAUACAUUAUAAUAAAACAAACAUGAUAAAUUGGCAAGUUUGACACGUGUCAACAAACUAUAGUGUUAAGAAAAUAUCAAGUUUCUAUUAAUAGAAAUAAUACGUGCUUAUGCUUGAGAAGUUAAUGGCCAAUUAAAAAAUAAAAUGAAUAAAUUAAAAAUAAAAAGUUUUUUUUGUAAGAAAAGCAUAAAACUUCGGUUACAUCACGAUCUUUGUCCACGAUACAUCCGUUGAGAAUUUAAUGGUCAAUUAAAAAAUUAAAAAUAAAAUACAAUAUACCACGACUUGACAGUUUUUUCUAUGCGUCCGUUGAGAAGUUAAUGGCCAAUUAAAAAAUAAGAAAAAUAAAUUAAAAAUAAAAGAUUUUUUUUAAGAAAAAAAUAAAACUUCCAUUACAUGAGAAAUGAAUGACCAAUUAAAAAAUAAGAAAAUAAAUUAAAAAUCUAUACAAUUUAAUAAAGCAAAAUGAUAAUAUAUUUUUUAUAAUAAAAUUAAAUUUAUGUUACACGACUUUGUAUGUCAGUUGAAAAGUUAGUGGCCAAAAAAAUAAAAGAAUGAACUAAAAAUAAAAUACACUACACCACUACUUACGUUUCACCGUUGAGAAUUUAGUGGUCAGUUAAAAAAGAAAAAGAAUAACAGCAAAAUACGUUCAAUUACACCCACCACGACGAGACACUUUUUGAAAUUAUUUUUUAAACACUAUUUAACAACCACAGCUUCAAAUUAAUUUAUUUUAUUUUAUGAAUUCUUUUAAUUCCCUCAUACUUUCUUUCUUAAUUCCCGUGCUUCGUAAACGAUAUCUUUUCAAUUCUCUCAUUUUUUGUGUCUCCAUUAUAAAUAUCAUUCAUAUUAUCUCGGUAUAUACAAUUCAUUUUUUAAAUUUUUUUUACCAAAACUUUGUUAUUCAUCUUUAUCCAAUGUCAGUCUGAAACAAAAAUCAUAAAAUCAGUUGCUUCAAUUUCUUCAUCAAAGUUUGUUGCUUCAAUUUCUCCAAAAAAUGAGUCAUGNNNNNNNNNNNNNNNNNNNNNNNNNNNNNNNNNNNNNNNNNNNNNNNNNNNNNNNNNNNNNNNNNNNNNNNNNNNNNNNNNNNNNNNNNNNNNNNNNNNNNNNNNNNNNNNNNNNNNNNNNNNNNNNNNNNNNNNNNNNNNNNNNNNNNNNNNNNNNNNNNNNNNNNNNNNNNNNNNNNNNNNNNNNNNNNNNNNNNNNNNNNNNNNNNNNNNNNNNNNNNNNNNNNNNNNNNNNNNNNNNNNNNNNNNNNNNNNNNNNNNNNNNNNNNNNNNNNNNNNNNNNNNNNNNNNNNNNNNNNNNNNNNNNNNNNNNNNNNNNNNNNNNNNNNNNNNNNNNNNNNNNNNNNNNNNNNNNNNNNNNNNNNNNNNNNNNNNNNNNNNNNNNNNNNNNNNNNNNNNNNNNNNNNNNNNNNNNNNNNNNNNNNNNNNNNNNNNNNNNNNNNNNNNNNNNNNNNNNNNNNNNNNNNNNNNNNNNNNNNNNNNNNNNNNNNNNNNNNNNNNNNNNNNNNNNNNNNNNNNNNNNNNNNNNNNNNNNNNNNNNNNNNNNNNNNNNNNNNNNNNNNNNNNNNNNNNNNNNNNNNNNNNNNNNNNNNNNNNNNNNNNNNNNNNNNNNNNNNNNNNNNNNNNNNNNNNNNNNNNNNNNNNNNNNNNNNNNNNNNNNNNNNNNNNNNNNNNNNNNNNNNNNNNNNNNNNNNNNNNNNNNNNNNNNNNNNNNNNNNNNNNNNNNNNNNNNNNNNNNNNNNNNNNNNNNNNNNNNNNNNNNNNNNNNNNNNNNNNNNNNNNNNNNNNNNNNNNNNNNNNNNNNNNNNNNNNNNNNNNNNNNNNNNNNNNNNNNNNNNNNNNNNNNNNNNNNNNNNNNNNNNNNNNNNNNNNNNNNNNNNNNNUUAAUUUUGUCUCAAAAAAUUGUAAAUUUGUAUAUGUAUAUUUCUAUCCUCUUAUAUAACAUUUGUAUAAUUAAAUAAAAAAUAAUAAUUUAUUUAAGUAAAUAUAAAUUUUAUUUAGGCUUCUUAACGUGAAUUCAAUUAAAUUUCCAGAAUAUUGAAGAGAAAAAUAAUAAUUUAUUUAAAAAAAUAUAAAAUUUAUGUAUGAAUUAAAAAAACAAUUCAUUUCAUCGAUUCAUUGAAAAUAGUGGUUUUUCAAACUUCAAACACUAUUUUAUCAAAUUUAAAAACUACUAUACUAUACAUUUUAUAUUCAAAGGAUUCAUGAAAGAUUAAUGAAGACUAAUUUUUAUGUGUAUUGUAAUUUUUUGUUUGUAAUAGGAAAAUUAUUUUUCUUUAGUAUUUUGUGAGUAGUACUAAAAUGAAAUAUAUUUUGCCACUUGAUACAGCAAAAUUUAUAUUAAUUCUUAAAUGUCAUGUAUUUCAUAUAAAUAACAUAGGUUGAAUAAUAAAAAUAAAAAUUCAUUAUUAAGUUACUUACUCAUCUUUACAUUUACUAAUUUACUUAUUUUAUAUAUGUCCAUGUCCAUUAUUUUAAAAAAAUUUAUUUCAUCUAAUCUAAUUAUUUAAUUUAAUUUUUUUUAAUAAUUAUUGUUUUUAUUUGUUUAAAAUUAAAAGUAUAUAAUAAGUUUUUUGGAAAGAAAAAAGAUUACGUGUAGAAUUCAAAAAUAAGACAUCAUCAUUUGAGUAAGAUUAAAGAGUAGUGUUAGAGUCAUACUUUUUAUCAAUAACAUUGAGCCUAUAAGAAAGUAGUUUUAAAGUUAAGUUAAAAUUAGAUUUUUUUUAAUUUUUUUUAAAUCAAUUUAUUUUUUUUUAAUGUCAAUAAAAUUUAUGAAAUUUGAUAUAUAUAUAUAUAUAUAUAUAUAUAUAUAUAUAUAUAUAUAUAUAUAAUAUAACCAUUUAUUUAUUAAAAUCGUUGUUUCCGUGCGAACGCACGGAUUACAAACUAAUAAUAAGAUAAUUAAGUGCAUUGAUAAGAUGAAGAGUUUACAUUAAUAAAGCAUGUGAAAAAAGGUCUCAAAUGUGGAAGAAAAAGAAAUCAAAAUUGGUAGCAAAUUAUGAAAACCAACAUCAUUUAGUUAAUUGAAUUAAAUAGAGAAUUGGAAAGAAUAAUCUAGAUGGGAAAAUUUAAAGCAACUCUAGAAACCAAUUUUAUUAACAAUAAUGAUGCUAAAUAAAGAAAGAUAGAUGGAAAGAUUUAAAUGCAUCCUCGAUUUUCUUUUUCUUAAAAUAAUGCAUCAUUGUUUUUUUUUCUUCUCACCAAGCAUCAUCGACUUUUUUGAUAAGCUGAAAAAGUUGUUUGUAAUAAACACCCAUGUUUUUUUUUUAAAAUAUUAUUACUUCAAAUUGUUAUUUUUUAGAUUUUUUAAUUAUUGACAUUGGGGCAUGUUUCAAAUAUAUGUACUUUAAUGUAGUGACUUUUUAAAUUUUAAAUUAACUUUUUAGAAAGAUGUAAUAAUACUUGGAUCUCCCAUUAAAAAUUAAAUAACUAAAUUCAAAUAAUUUAAAUUUUUUAAAAACAAUUGAUAUAUUUAAAUAAUUUAACCUUCAAUCCAAAUAUAAACUUAAUCUUCUAACAUUUUUUUUUCUUUCAAAAUCUAAUUGCAAACCCAACUUAAAAUCAAUGAUUUCCAAAAUUCUAUGAUAUGCAUGCACAAUCAACACAGUGAUAUCACCGUACUAACUCUAAGGAAACGCAACCUACCAUGUUAUAGCCAUGCUACUUAACUUGUCAAGAACAGAAACCUUGGGGAUUGGGUAUUGAAUGCCACAUGAGGUGGGGCUCUUGUAUCUCUUUCAGCCUCAAUCGAUUAUGUUUCUGCUACACUUUCUCCUCCUAUUAAUUAAUUAGUUUUUAGGAUUUUAAUUGAAUCAUUAGAUGGAUUAGUGAAAGUGAUUUUUAAUUUUAUUUGUUAAACAAUGUCCAGUCAACUAUACUAGUACAAUCUUCAAAAAUUGACUAUGCCGGUGGAUCUUUUAAAUUUUGAACUAAAUAUUGUGUUCGUGGAUGAAAAAGACCUCUUGAAUCAAUCUAUUAACAUUAUUAUGAGAUAAAAUGUGCACUUUUAGUAAAGCUAUUUUAUAUUGAGUAUUAAUCAUAAUGUGUCAAUUUAUAAAAUACAUGUUCAAUAUUUUUAUCAAUUUUUUAUUUAUGUCAACCACAUUAUAAAAUAACUUUUAUUAGAUACAUAUUACUUAUACUCUAUUAUUAUACUGCUCCUAUACUCCACCCACUAAUAAUUAUUAUACUAACACAAUUUUUCAACAUUUAAUAAUUAAUACUAUCUGAUCUUGAAUAUAAAAAAAAUUGUAUUAAUUAAAAACUACAUUAAAUAGUAGUUAAUUCGGCCAUUAAAGUUUAAAAAAUUAAUGUCAAAACAAUUAAAAGAUUAUUAUAUAAUUUUUAAAGGUUGAAUUGAAAGAGCGAAGCGGUUAUCUAAAUGAUUGAUAUUUAGAGACGGAGAGAAUUAGCAUAAAAAAAUGAAAUUGAGCGAGGAAUGUGAAACUUAUAAGAGAAGUAAAGUCGAAAGGCACAAAAUGAAGCAUGAUAGAAAAUUAAGGUGAAAGUGAAAUUAAACCUAAACCGAAGUAGCCUAUAGUAAUUAAAAAAGAAUAGUAAUAAUAAGAAAGCGACGAGAAAGGCAAUCGUUAUUUGGGGCACUGCAACAGAACCUUUCCUUUCCUCUUUGCAUGCUGCUCUCUCUGCUCUUCCAUACUCUCAUUACCAAUACUCUUAUUAUAUAAUAAAUUCAUUCUCUUCUAUUUAUUUCUUAAAUUCCAAUUUCACUAAUCACUUCCUACCUAGGGUUCCCAACAAUGCUGCCGGAUUCCUCUGAACAAGAAGACGAUUCUGAAAUCGACUUCGUCGAAAUUGAUCCUACUGGUCGAUACGGUCGGGUGCGUUCCAAUUCUCAAAUCUAACGCUCAAUGCCGUAAUUAUUCAUUGUUUCGCUUGAUCUGAUCUAAAACUAACAAUGCCUUGUUUCUUUCUGAUUCGCUUUGAUGGAUUCAACAGUACAGGGAAGUUUUAGGAAAGGGGGCUUUCAAAAAAGUGUAUCCUUUUAUUUUGUUUCUAUAUUUUUACGAUCAAUUGAUAAAUUUCAAUAUUUAUUGAAUGGAUGUAAUCGUGUACCAAUGAGAUGAUUUGUUAGGAAUGAAAAUUUCCUUGACAGUAAUUUGGAAAUGUAGAUAUCGUGCUUUUGAUGAAUUGGAAGGAAUUGAAGUGGCUUGGAAUCAGGUUAAGGUGUCUGAUCUAGUGCGUAAUUCUGUAGAUUUGGACCGCCUUUAUUCUGAAGUUCAUUUGCUCAAGACUUUGAAGCAUAAAAAUAUUAUUAAAUUUUACAAUUCAUGGGUUGACGCCAAGAAUGAGAACAUUAAUUUCAUUACUGAAAUUUUCACCUCCGGAACAUUGCGCCAGUGAGUGUCCUUUGGUUCUUUGUCCCCUUUAUGUAUUUGUUUCGUUUUGUCAUUUUCAGUCCCCCUUUUAUAUUUUGGCGAGCUCUUUUGUUUUAAGUUUAGCUUUCUUAUUUUAGAUACCGGAAGAAACAUAAGCAUGUUGAUUUGAGAGCUUUGAAGAAAUGGUCUAGGCAGAUUUUGGAGGGCCUUUCGUAUCUUCAUAGUCAUAAACCACCAGUUAUUCAUCGAGACCUUAAGUGUGACAACCUUUUUGUCAAUGGGAAUCAGGGGGAGGUGAAAAUCGGUGAUUUAGGAUUGGCAGCCAUCCUUCAACAGGCCAGUUCAGCUCACAGUGUUAUCGGUAACAUUUUCCUGGGAAAUCAUUACAUGUAUUGCCCUUUUCUUAUGUGUACUACUGUGGAAGUAUUGUUACUUAAAGUAUUUGUAAUUCUCUUAUGAGCCCCAGGUACCCCGGAAUUCAUGGCCCCAGAACUUUAUGAAGAGGAGUACAAUGAGCUUGUCGACAUAUAUGCUUUUGGCAUGUGCUUACUAGAGUUGGUAACUGUUGAGUACCCGUAUAUUGAAUGUGCCAAUGCUGCUCAAAUAUACAAGAAAGUGACAUCUGUAAGUGCAUUGUUAUCAAAAUGUUGGGACAAUUUUAGGGACUGUUUUUUUUUUUUGAAAUUUUUUUAGGGAUUGUUUAAAAAACUUUUGAAGUGAACAAUUGUCUACAUUUAUAGAAAUAAUGAAAAUGUCAAAAAACCAUUUUCAUUAUUUCUGGAAAUGAUCUUAAUCAACUACCAUUUCAUAUUUUCUCCACGACAAUAGUUCACCGCAAGAGUUUUUCAUGAAGACAAAAUGAACACACAUUUUAGAAAAUGAUAACACAAAAUGUUUUUAUAAAAUAAGCGCGACCUUACUUGUUGUGUAAUGCAACACUGGUAUUAGAAUUUUUAACUCCAAUCACAGUGGUGGUAGGUAUAUUAUUCAAUGCACUCUGAAAACUCCGUAAAUUUUCGGAGACUGAGAUUUUCUGGAACCUUUAAAUAGUACAUCAAUUUGAUAAAACCAUUUCUGCUUGUGCGUGUCUAAGAUGUAAUGUCCUGACAUUUACUUCAUUUGAAAUUUGAAUCUUUUUGAACUACUCAAUGAUACUUUCAAGGUUAUAGUUUGCAUUUAUCUUUAUUGAUUGUUUCACGAAUCAACUAGUCAAACCCCGUGUUCAAUUCAAUAAAAGUAUUGGAUACUUCACGAUCCUGAGCAGAUGUUGAAUAUUAUAGAAAUUUCAUAUAAUUGGAGUGUUCUAUAAAGAAAAACUGGUGAAUUUGCAGUGACCAAACUCAAAAUAACAAAAUAAGAAUCCUAGAAUAUCUGAACUGGUAUUUUUUUUCUUCUUCUUUUCUACUUGCUGCAUCUGAACUCUAGUUAGCUUCUAUGGCAUGAUGGUUAACCUAUCUUCUUUAUAAGAAUCAUUUGAAGUCUUACCUUUCCUUAUGUAUGAAAUUGCUAGGGAUAUGAUUAGAGUUUUUUAGUAGAAUCCUGAAAAGGCUAGGUUAAACUCAACAUUGAAAAAUAUGUUUUUACUUUAUUGUUUUACUGAUAGGCUGUGCUGCGAAUCAAAUAACUGUUUACAAAUCCUUGUUCAAGUGAUAUUUCCUGCUUUUUUGGGUCUGUUUUAGUUUUUCAAUAAUUUUCAUUUUUAUUGUUUUGUUUUGCCAUUUUUUAUCGUUGUUGUUUCUUUUUAUUCUAGGGAAUAAAACCAGCAUCAUUGGCAAAAGUGACAGAUCCCGAAGUUAAAGCCUUCAUAGAAAAGUGUAUUUCUCGUGCAUCAGAUCGGUUGCCUGCAAAGGCUCUCUUGAUGGAUCCCUUCCUUCAGUCAGAUUAUGAUGGUGAUAGUGUAGGUCGAUCAUCGAGAUCUGGAGCCCACCAUUCAGGUACAUAUACUGUACAUAUAAAGUUCCAGAUGAACAAUUUGCUUUUGUUUACCAUCCAAUGCAUCAAAUGCAGGAAAUAACUUUAAUCAUCAAUCCAUCGGAGAAAGUGCCAAGGAAAACUCUGUUGAGACUAGUUGGGAAUUUACAGUGGAAGGCCAAAGGAGAGAUGUUAAUACAAUAUUUUUAAAACUGCGAAUUGCAGAUUCCUCAGGUAUUCUCUUACUUUGUUUAGUUUUUUUCAAAGCAAGGGAAUAUGUAUUUGCUUUUUCAUGGUUCUGAUAUUCAUUUGUUUGUAGGCCAUAUUCGAAAUAUUCACUUCCCUUUCAAUAUUGGAGCAGACACUUCAAUCUCCGUUGCCAGUGAAAUGGUUGAGGAGUUGGAGCUUACCGAUCAAGAUGUUUCGACCAUUGCUAAGACAAUUGACUCAGAAAUUCAAUACCACAUUCCUAGUUGGAAUCCCAGUGAAACUCCCGACAAUAAUUCUUUUGAAUUUUCUGGCCAGACCCCUGAAACUAAGACUGAGGCUUCUCCUAUUGGAAAUGAUUCUCCUAGCAGCCUUGCUUUGGAAAUAUUACCUUCUGGUCGUAAGUACUGGUCAGACUCACCAAAGGGUGUUGGUGGAAACUCUCCAGCUCCGCGCUGUGCUUCGAACUUGUCUUAUGAAGUGGAUGUGAAUGCUGAUGAAGGCAUCUUGUUUGCAAAUAGUGCGGAGAAGGAAUGUGACAGGACUGCUGAUUCCCCGUUUGAUGAAAGAAGUAUUAUAUCGGACUAUUCUGAAGCAACUGGUGGAAAGUCCUCUCUAGAAGAAAUAUCUGUACGUUACGAUUCUGAAAUAGAGGAUAUCAAUACAAUAGCAACAAAGUUGGAGACUUUGUUGGUUAUGCAAAGAGAGGAGUUAGAUGAACUGAAGAGGAAGCACAAAUUAGCUGUCUCAGAUUUUUUGAGUGAGUUUUCUCCAGAAAUUUGCCAACAGAUCCUAAGUAUAUGCAACCCGGAAAUGCCUGACAGUGAAAUGUAGGGUAAGCUUUCCCUAUAUCUAGAUGCCCAUUUUGUGGGGUUUGUGGAGGAGUGAAAUUCUGAAGUUGAAAUCUUUUUUGCAUGUCACAUGGAAUGAAUUGCGUUUGUAGUGUUAAUAGUGUCCGUGAUUGCUUAAGAGAGGGAUUUGUUUUAAUGGAAAUGUUCUUCUAAUGAUGUUGGGAGGACAUGCAGCUGACUCAUAACUUUGGAUAAUCUUUGCAGGAAUUAAUGUCUUCUUCAGCUUGGAAACUCAAUGUUAUUGCUGUAUUUAUGCUUGAAGCACUCUGGGGGUGAAAUGAUAAGGUCAUCGUAAGACUAGUUCAUAUCAACUUCAUUUCCCAAGAACAUCUGUUGUAUAUAGUUUGGUAGAAGUCAUUAAUUAAGCUAUAGAAAGUGUAUACUCGUAGAUAUUACUUGCUCUCCUUUAAGAUCUUCCCAACUAGGAGUUCACCCUUGAUAGGAGUUAAGGGCAACGAGAUCAACUAUUCGUGGAUUAUUUUUCAUUAUUUAUGUCCAAGUAUUCUCAGAAUUUGGCACCAUCGACUUAAUUAGAUGGAAGUUUGUAAACUUGAUUUUAAGUUAUUUUAAUUUUAUCAAUUAAUCUUAUUUUGAGUUUGAAUGAAAUAUUUGAAAUUUGCAAGUGAAAAUCAAGUUUAUAACAAAACUUGGCAGACCAUUUUAGAAAAAAAUGCGUACGUACAGUCCAUGUUAUCAACAAAUCAAAAUUAUCGAUUUAUGUAUAUUUUUUAAGGUAUCAACUAAAAAAGGUUUGAGUCUUUUAUUUUUUAUAACCAUAUUAUUAUAGGAAUUAAGUGUCUAGUAUCUACCACUGCUCAGCUAAUCUGAAACUUGUUGUGGAUACACAAGGUUGGAUUUUUCCUUUAACCAGUUUAUUUUUAUUUAAUAAUAAAUCAAUGGGUUAUAUAUAUAGAACACAUGAUUUUAGAAUAAAAAUAUAAAUUAUAGGCUUAGACUAAAUUAAAGGAUCAAGAUUUGUUUAUUGUUAUUAUUUGAAGUUAUAAAAUAAUUUUUGAUGAAAAAAAAAGAAACUUAAAGAUGGGCGCGUGUGGCCAUUUAAAUGGACUUGGAAGGAGGUGAGCUCAAUUUCUCAACCGAAAAAUGUUGGUGUCGUUUAAACAUAGUGCAAGUGAGUGCAAUUACUCUACCAAAGUUGUGACUUGUGAAUGUUUGUUAAAAAAGAAGGGAAUAUGUACGAUGUAAACAUACCAGAAAUGAGUGCAAUUUACCAUAUCUAUUUUGAUUAUUUCACCACGAUGUGAAAUGGAGGGAGACACUGUUGAAUUGAAGCAAGGGUUGAUAGUGAAGCUUCUUUUCCAUCACCAUAGUAUCAAUAUGGUUUUGGUUGUUGAAACUUACUGGAAAUGUAUGUUUUUUUUUUUGACAAAAAAUUGGAAGUGUAUCCAAUCAUAUUUGGUUGGAACUAUGGUGUAUAGUAUUGUAUUUGUAGAUGUAGACAAGUCAGUUACUGGACAUAAGUAGUUUUUAAAACAUCGAUUAUUUUUUGAUAUCAAGAAUGUAGUAGUAGAGUUACAUUAUUUGAUGUUAACUUACUAGUUUAUUUAUUUUGAGAUUAAAUUUCGGUUAUAUUUGGAACAAGACUUUAGUCUCUUGUGGUGGAUCUGCCUUCCAACAAGUCUCCUUAACGUGGAUACGUUAAUUGAAUCCAUGUCACAAUCAAGUCUUCGUGGAGCUUCUCUAAUCUUAAGAGCUUAUUUAAGGGAACACCCCAAAUAAUCAUAGCACCAAGGAUAAUAUAUCCAUAUGUGGUUAUAGAUCUGUGUACUUGUAAAAUAAAAACUUGUAAAAAGAUUACUUCCAUGUGUACUUACGUAGAAAUACCCGUGGCAAACGGUUUCAUACUUCGUGUAACACAAAUUUUAGAAAAUAAAAAUAAAAAGUAUUUUCAUAUUUUCACAAACUAUAUGAAUUUAACAGAUUAAUAACAACAUAAUAAUUAAUUAAAUCACAAAAUUAGGGUUGUAUGUUUAUAUUAUAUAUAGAAAAAAAACUCAAAUAAAUAAAAAGAAUAAAUGUUUUAACAAUAAAGUCUAAAAAUAAAUAAAUACAAUAAAACUAAAAGGAUAGAAAGUAGUUAAAAAAAAAAGGCAUUACUAGGUUUGCAUCGAGUAUGAUUAACCUUUAAUUCAAUGAUAUAAAUUGUAAAUGAGAAAUAUAAUGUAGAGUGGAUUGAUUAUAGUGAGGAGCGCGUCCCUCCAAAGGAGAGGAUAGAAUUUGAUAAGAAGUGGUUCUCAUUUCUUUCAUCCACACACACUCACUCAAAUUGAGAAUUCAGAUAACAAACAAAAUCCUCUUCUCUUCACUCCAAAUUCUCUCGUUGAGAACCAUGGCAAUAGCAACGGCUUCUUCUUCUUCUUGUUCCUCCAAACUCAAACUCUCACAACACCCACCACUCUCCCACACUUUCAUCGCAUCCGCUUCAAUUUCAAACUCCAAUACUUUCCGUUCCACCACACACCCCAAACUAACCCUAACUCGUCUAUCCUCUUCAUUUCUAAACCCUUCCACAAUCCUCCAUCUCACUCCCUCCUCUCAACAACAACGCACCAACCGUCCUUCCUUCACCGUCCGUGCCGCACGUGGCAAAUUCGAACGCAAAAAACCUCAUCUCAACAUAGGCACAAUUGGCCACGUCGACCAUGGAAAAACCACUCUCACUGCUGCUCUCACUAUGGCUCUAGCUUCCCUCGGUAACAGCGCCCCUAAAAAAUACGAUGAAAUUGACGCUGCACCGGAAGAGC
rnacentral:lncRNA from 1 species